CUCCCCAUUUGACUUCUAGCCUGCUGUUAAGGCGCCGCGUAGCGUUUGUUGCUGCAGAUUUCAUGUGGUUUUCUCUGUGCUGGGCUAUUAUGGCUAGCCCCGGUACCAGGCUGGACUUCGUAAUAAUACUCCGUAUGUGAAUCGUCUGAUGAACAUGCAUACCGUUGGGUGGGGGUGGAUCAGCGGAUUCCAACAUUUUUGUUUUGUUUUGAGCUGGCUGGAUGUGACGUAUCUUCAAUAGUUCAAUGUGUUUGUUGCUGACACAACUCUCCAUCUUUUCUCUACACAAUAUUAAUAGCUACUCCCUCCGUCCGGAAAAUACUUCCGGAAAAUACUUGUCAUCAAAAUGAAUAAAAGAGGAUGUAUCUAGAUGUAUUUUAGUUCUACAUAUAUUCUUUUUUGUUCAUUUUAAUGACAAGUAUUUUCGGACGGAGGGAGUAGCUACUAUCACCCUGUUCCAAAUUAUAAGAUGUUUUGGAUAUUUCAAUAUGGAUUAUGUACGGGCUGAAAUGAGUGAACAAGUACACUAAAAUGCGUCUAUACAUCCGAUUUAGGGAAAAAAAUAGAACAUCUUAUAAUUCAAAACCUGAGGGAGUACCUUGUUAUGAUCUUUGUUCUUCACAAAUAAUUCAUGGUUCUGGAUGUAUGCUUUGUGAUAAUGUUUUCGUUGAAUCUGCUGCUUGGGGGGUGAUCUUUUUUCUUUUGAAGUCCGCCUUGGAGGAUCUUGAUUAAAAAAAAAAGGAAGAGAGCUUCCCGAUUAAUAUACUUAAAUCUAGACUAAAACCGUCACACUUAUCCACGGAGGGCAACACUGGCUGACCAAAAGGCCAUCUCCAACGUCGACCCUCAAACCGCCCAUGUAUGUCCGGAUCAUGUUGUUCGGGCAGCAGAAGCCAUCCAACACGAGCAUUUACACACAUUUUCUUCUGCAAACCGGAGACAAACGUAAGGUGGCUUUGCGAGAGUCCGGACCGCUGCCACGCCCGCUUCUGAUCGUGCUAGCACACCCAAAACCCCUCCUCCCUCUCCCGCGCGCGUUCCCACCCGGUGCCAGCUGCCUGCAUACAUGUCGCUGUAGAGCGCGCCGCUCCACAUUGAAGACGGCUCAGGGCGGACACGACGUCUCACUGCCUCUUCGCCUCUCCGGUGUCCGCGUCUGUUCAAUGGCGGAGACGUGUUACUACAUGGGACGGGGCGGAUAUCUACCAUGCCCGUUGAAUGUAUGUUCGUCUGCAUGCCGCCAUUAAGCAGGCCCGUCGGCCAAGAAAUCCACUCCGACGCCGCGUAUUGACGCACCCUGGCGUCUGGCCUCACAGGAAUCCGUUGUUUAAAGACGGCCACACCCGACUAACUCCAAGCCACAACACAAGCCUGCUCCCCAUCCUCUUCCCUUGAACUACAUACGCCACGACUGCAGGUCGCGAAGCUCUACGGGAGAGCCUUUCCACUGAGAUGAAGCACGCGGUGGCCGCCCGUGCCACCGUCCGGCAGAGCCGCCGUGCCAGGCGGAUCGAGGCCAGCUUGCGGGCCAGCUCGCCCAAGGUCUCCGACAACGAGGACGACACCACGAUGAAGACGGGCUCUGACGACACCGUCCCGAGGCCCACGCCUGUGCACGACGGCUUCAUAAUGGAGCAUGCGCAGAUGCACUACAACGCCGCCAUCACGAAGGUGCAGCCCGCGCCUUUGUCGGUGUUCCGGCAGGCGCUAGAGCAGCACCGGCAGGCGGAGGGCCAAAUCUACAGCGAGCGUGGGAGCAAGGGGGCCGUGGUGGCAACGGCCGCGGCGAACCCCAACUUCAUUGUUGUCGGUGUGGAGCCGACGAUCUAUGGGACAGGACAACCCCUUUACUAAUUCGGCAAGGGCGGNNNNNNNNNNNNNNNNNNNNNNNNNNNNNNNNNNNNNNNNNNNNNNNNNNNNNNNNNNNNNNNNNNNNNNNNNNNNNNNNNNNNNNNNNNNNNNNNNNNNNNNNNNNNNNNNNNNNNNNNNNNNNNNNNNNNNNNNNNNNNNNNNNNNNNNNNNNNNNNNNNNNNNNNNNNNNNNNNNNNNNNNNNNNNNNNNNNNNNNNNNNNNNNNNNNNNNNNNNNNNNNNNNNNNNNNNNNNNNNNNNNNNNNNNNNNNNNNNNNNNNNNNNNNNNNNNNNNNNNNNNNNNNNNNNNNNNNNNNNNNNNNNNNNNNNNNNNNNNNNNNNNNNNNNNNNNNNNNNNNNNNNNNNNNNNNNNNNNNNNNNNNNNNNNNNNNNNNNNNNNNNNNNNNNNNNGGGUAGUCAAUGCAAAGAGCAAGGGCAACAAGGAGCGCCACGGUUUUACCCAGGUUCGGGCCGUUGAGAAGCGUAAAACCCUACUCCUGCUUUGGUGUAUUGGGUGAAGGUGGAAGAAAGUACAUGGAGCGCUCUUCCCCAGCAAGUCGCUAAGGGAGGGCAGCUACACGAAUACCUAUGCGUGAAGGUUGCAAAGGGUUCGACCCCCUGUAGAGGUUGCCUUGGCCCUCCUUUUAUAGCUCAAGGGGUUACCACAGUGGCAAAAAGGUCAUUACAGGGUGAUUAGACUGAUAAAAAACUAUCAUACCUAACUCUACUAGUUAGGACAGAAAUACAUUAAAUGCACUGCUAGGUGUGGAGGAGGAGCCCUGGCAAGGCUGCAGGCUGCCGCACCACUUGCUCAACUACCUCCUAUUAGCUUGACACGCCAUUAGAACGGGUGUCAAUAAAGGUAAUCUUCCCUUCCAGCAAGCCGACACGUACGGACUGUCUCCACCUAACCACCUGCGGGCUCGACACCUCACUGAUCAGCGACCAGCUGGCAGAGAGGUGGAGCGCUGGCGUUUGGCAGCAAGUAUGUGCUCAAGGGGCUUGCCGGCUCGCUCUUGUCGGGGUUGGUCGCUUCUAUUGCGGAUUUUGUAGCUUUGCUCCAAGCCUUGGUCUUAUUAAUGCGCUGUUUGAUCUCACGAAGAGCGGCUUCUCUGGUUUGGUAUUAGUCCCUGCCAAGGUCCUUUGUCGGGAACGCUGUCAUCGUCCGUGCACAAAUCAGGGUUGCUAAGAACCCCGUUCUUAGUGCACCAACAGGAACCCCCGGGCCUGGUCCAUACGCGCAUCCGAGACGUUGUUGGGCUAGGCCCAAAAAUGUGCACGGACACACGUGGCGGAGGAUAACCGACAUAAUCUUUUGCUGCAAUAUGUAAUCAUGAUGGUUCCCGCUAACGCACGUCCAAUCCGCACAUUAAUCGUGAGGCGUGGGAACGUGGGUGUUGUUGCAGUUACCCGUCGUGGCAUGCGUGCGAGGCGCACAGCUAGGGAAGGUGGCGAAGAGCCAUCCCCCUCGCAUAUUCCCCAUAAAAAGGUAACCAUGAAAAAGGGGCGUUGCUCAUUCACUCUUGCCCUCCCCCGCUUCACCUUCCUCCUCUAGCCAAAAACCGCAUCUGCUGCCGCCACCGUUAUCGCCGCGGUCAAUCCGUCUUGACCCUAAUCUUCCCUCCUUCUCGAGCCCUUGAUGCGCCCAAGACAGCCGCCCCUAAGGGGAAGAAGGCGGCCAAACCGCUCGACCUCAAGGCGGAGCAAAAGAAGGAGUUGGAGAAACGCCAGCAGGAAAAUGUCAGCUUUUUGUCACCGACCUUGUCCGCCAACACCUUGAUUGAAAGGUAUGCAUAUAUGUGGGGGAAGGAGACCGAUAGCGAUGGAGCCCCCAAGGUUCCAGCCAAUUCCUACCCCUUCUUCUGUGCAUACUUCUACUGCGGCUUGCCGCCUCCGUACUCAGAUUUCUUCUGCGAGUUGAUGUCCACUUAUGGGUUCCGGCUGCUUGAUUUCACCCCCAACGCCAUGACAUGCAUGGCAGUCUUUGCCCAUUUCUGUGAGUAUUUCAUCGGGGUUAUGAUAAAUGUUUAUUAUUCAUGCUAGAACUGUAUUAACCGGAAACUAUAUACAUGUGUGAAUACAUAGACAAAACACCGUGUCCCUAGUAUGCCUCUACUUGACUAGCUCGUUGAUCAAAGAUGGAUAAGUUUCCUAGCCAUGGACAUGUGUAGUCAUUUGAUGAACGGGAUCACAUCAUUAGUGGAAUGAUGUGAUGGACAAUACCCAUCCGUCAGCUUAGCAUAAUGAUCGUUCAGUUUAUUGCUACUGCUUUCUUCAUGUCAAAUACAUAUUCCUCCGACUAUGAGAUUAUGCAACUACCGGACAUUGAAGGAAUGCCUCGUGUGCUAUCAAACACAAUGUAACUGGGUGAUUAUAAAGAUGCUCUACAGGUAUCUCCGAAGGUGUUUGUUGGGUUGGCAUAGAUCGAGAUUAGGAUUUGUCACUCCGAGUAUCGGGGAGGUAUCUCUGGGUCCUCUCGGUAAUGCACAUCAUAUGAAGCCUUGCAAGCAAUGUGAUUAAUGAGUUAGUUGCAGGAUGAUGCAUUACAGAACGAGUAAAGAGACUUGCCGGUAACGAGAUUGAACUAGGUAUAAAGAUACCGACGAUCGAAUCUCAGGCAAGUAACAUACCGAUGACAAAGGGAAUAACGUAUGUUGACACUGCGGUUCGACCGAUAAAGAUCUUCGUAGAAUAUGUGGGAACCAAUAUGAGCAUCAAGGUUCCGCUAUUGGAUAUUAACCGGAGAGGUGUCUCGGUCAUGUCUACAUAGUUCUCGAACCCGUAGGGUCCGCACGCUUAAUGUUCGAUGACGAUAUGUAUUAUAUGAGUUAUGUGUUUUGGUGACUGAAGGUUGUUCGGAGCCCCGGGUAAGAUCAUGGACAUGACAAGGAGUCUCGAAAUGGUCAAGAGGUAAAGAUUGAUAUAUUGGAAGGUAGUAUUCGGACACCGGAAGGGUUCCAGAGUGUAUCGGGUACAUACCGGAGUACCAGAGGGGUUACCGGAACCCCCCGGGAAAGAUAUGGGCCAUAUGGGCCAUAGGAGGGAGGCAAACCAGCCCAUGUAGGUGUGGCACUCCCCCCUCCCCAAGGGAGGAGUCCGAAUUGGACUAGGGGUGGGGGCGGCGCCCCCCUUUCCUUCUCCCUCUCCUACUCCUUCCCCCCUUUCCCCCUCCGGUAAAAUGAAGGGGGCGAAUCCCACUAGGAGUGCAAGUGGGACUCCUUCCCGCUUGGGGCGUGCCUAGGCCGGACUCUUCUCCCUCCCUCCUUUAUAUACAGGGGGCGCCCUAUGAGACAUACCAAUUGUUCCAAGACGUGUGCGGCGCCCCCCUCCACAGUUUACGCCUCCGGUCAUAUUCUCGCGGUGCUUAGGAGAAGCCCUGCACGGAUCACAUCACCAUCACUGUCACCACGCCGUCGUGCUGAUGGAACUCAUCUACUCUUUCGACCCUCUGCUAGAUCAAGAGCUCGAGGGACGUCAUCGCGCUGAAGGUGUGCAGAACUCAGAGGUGCCGUACGUUCGGUACUCGAUCAGUCGGAACGAGAAGACGUUCGACUACAUCAACCGCGUUAAGUAAACGUUUCCGCUUUCGGUCUACAAGGGUACAUGGACACACUCUCCCCCUCUCGUUGCUAUGCAUCUCCUAGAUAGAUCUUGUGUGUGCAUAGAUUUUUUUUGAAAUUGCAUGCUACGUUUCCCAACAGUGGCAUCCGAGCCAAGUUAUGGGCGGUGAUCGUCAUACUGCUUACCACCAAUGUCUUAUUUUGAUUCGGCGGUAUUGUUGGAUGAAGCGGCCCAGACCAACCUUACAUGACCAUGUUCAUGAGACCGGUUGCACCGACAGGCAUGCAACUAGUUUUGCAUAAAGGUGGCUGGCGGGUGUCUGUUUCUCCAACUUUAGUUGAAUCGAAUUUGACUGUGGUCGGUCCUUGUUGAAGGUUAAAACAACAAACUUGAUAAAUCACCGUUGUGGUUUUGUGCCGUAGGUAAGAACGAUUCUUGCUAGAAGCCCAUAGCAGCCACGUAAAACUUGCAACAACAAAGUAGAUGACGUCUAACUUGUUUUUGCAGGGCAUGCUUGUGAUGUGAUAUGGUCAAGACAUGAUGUGAUAUACGUUAUUGUAUGAGAUGAUCAUGUUUUGUAGAAGUUAUCGGUAAUUGGCAGGAGCCUUACGUUGUCGCUUUAUUGUAUGAAAUGCAAAUGCCAUGUAAUUGCUUUACUUUAUCACUAAGCGGUAGCGAUAGUUGUAGAAGCAAUAGUUGGUGAGACGACCACGACGCUACGAUGGAGAUCAAGGUGUCAAGCCGGUGACGAUGGAGAUCAUGACGUUGCUUUGGUGAUGGAGAUCAAAAGCACAAGAUGAUGAUGGCCAUAUCAUGUCACAUAUUUUGAUUGCAUGUGAUGUUUAUAUUUAUGCAUCUUAUUUUGCUUAGUACGGCGGUGGCAUUAUAAGAUGAUCCCUUACUAAAAUUUCAAGGUAUAAGUGUUCUCCCCGAGUAUGCACCGUUACGAAAGUUCUUUGUGCUGAGACACCACGUGAUGAUUGGGUGUGAUAAGCUGUACGUUCAAAUAUAAUGGAUGCAAGCCAGUUUUGCACAUGCGGAAUGCUCGGGUUAAACUUGACGAGCCUAGCAUGUACAGGCAUGGACUCGAAACACUAGAGACCGAAAGGUUGAACGUGAAUCAUAUAGUAGAUAUGAUCAACAUAGAGAUGUUCACCAUUGAUGACUACUCCAUCUCACGUGAUGAUCAGACAUGGUUUAGUUGAUUUGGAUCACGUAUCAUUUAGAUGACUUGAGGGAUGUCUAUCUAAGUGGGAGUUCUUAAGUAAUAUGAUUAAUUGAACUUAAUUUAUCAUGAACUUAGUCCUGAUAAUUUUUUGCAUAUCUAUGUUGUAGAUCAAUGGACCGUGCUACUGUUCCCUUGAAAUUUUAAUGUGUUCCUAGAGAAAGCUAAGUUGAAAGAUGAUGGUAGCAACUACAGGGACUGGGUCCGUAACUUAAGGAUUAUCCUCAUUGCUGCAUAGAAAAAAUAUGUCCUUGAUGCACCGUUGGGUGAGAGGCAUGCUGCAGGAGCAGAAGCUGACGUUGUGAACGUCUGACAAGCUCGAUCUGAUGACUACUCGUUAGUUCAGUGUGCCAUGCUUUACGACUUAGAAUCAGGACUUCAAAGAUGUUUUGAGUGUCAUGGACCAUAUGAGAUGUUCUAGGAGUUGAAGUUAAUAUUUCAAGCAAAUGCCGGAGUUGAGAGAUAUGAAGUCUCCAACAAGUUCUAUAGUUGCAAGAUGGAGGAGAACAGUCCUGUUAGUGAGCACAUACUCAGAAUGUCUGGGUACCAUAAUCACUUGACUCAGCUGGGAGUUAAUCUUCUAGAUGAUUGUGUCAUUGACAGAGUUCUUCAAUCACUGCCACCAAGCUACAAGGGCUUCAUGAUGAACUACAAUAUGGAAGGGAUGGAAAAGACUAUUCCCGAGCUCUUCACAAUGCUAAAGGCCGUAGAGGUAGAAAUCAAGAAGGAGCAUCAAGUGUUGACAGUUAACAAGACCACUAGUUUCAGUAAGAAGGGCAAGGGUAAGAAGGGGAACUUCAAGAAGAAUGGCAAGCAAGUUGUCACUCUCGAGAAGAAACCCAAAACUGGACCCAAGCUUGAAACCGAGUGCUUCUACUACAAAGGGACUGGUCACUGGAACCGGAACUGCCCUAAGUAUUUGGCGGAUAAGAAGGAUGGCAAAGUGAACAAAGGUAUAUUUGAUAUACAUGUUAUUGAUGUGUACCUUACUAAUUCUCCUAUUAGUGUCUGGGUAUUUGAUACCGGUUUGGUUGCUCAUGUUUGUAACUCGAAACAGGGACUAUGAAUCAAAUGAAGAUUGGCUAAGGACGAGGUGAAGAUGCGCGUCGGGAAUGGUUCCAAGGUUGAUGUGAUCGCCGUCAACACGCUACCUCUACAUCUACCUUCGGGAUUAGGUUUAGACCUGAAUAAUUGUUAUUUGGUGCUAGCGUUGAGCAUGAACAUUAUAUCUAGAUCUUGUUUAGUGCGAGAUGGUUAUUCAUUUAAAUCAGAGAAUAAUGGUUGUUCUAUUUAUAUGAGUAAUAUCUUUUAUGGUCAUGAACCCUUGAAGAGUGGUCUAUUUCUGUUGAAUCUUGAUCGUGAUGAUAAACAUAUUCAUAAUAUUGAUGCCAAAAGAUGCAAAGUUGAUAAUGAUAGUGAAACUUAUUUGUGGCACUGCCGUUUGGGUCAUAUCGGUGUAAAGCGCAUGAAGAAACUCCAUAAAUAUGGACUUUUGGAAUCACUUGAUUAUGAAUCAUUUGAUACUUGCAAACCGUGGCUUAUGGGCAAGAUGACUAAAACUCUGUUCUCCGGGACAAUGGAACGAGCCAAUGAAUUGGAAAUAAUACAUACGGAUGUAUGCGGUCCGAUGAGUGUUGAGGCUCGUGGCGGGUAUCGUUAUUUUCUGACCUUCACAGAUCAUUUAAGCAGAUAUGGGUAUAUCUACUUAAUGAAACACAAGUAUAAAACAUUUGAAAAGUUCAAAGAAUUUCAGAGUGAAGUGGAGAAUCAUCGUAACAAGAAAAUAAAGUUUCUACGAUCUGAUCGUGGAAGUGAAUAUUGAGUUACGAGUUUGGCCUUCAUUUAAAACAAUGUGGAAUAGUUUCACAACUCACGCCACCUAGAACACCACAACGUAAUGGUGUGUCCGAACAUUGUAACCGCACUUUAUUAGAUAUGGUGCGAUAUAUGAUGUCUCUUACCAAUUUACCAUUAUCAUUUUGGGGUUAUGCAUUAGAGACUGUUGCAUUCACGUUAAACAGGGCACCCUCAAAAUCCAUUGAGAUGACACCAUAUGAACUAUGGUUUGGCAACAAACCUAAGCUGUUGUUUCUUAAAGUUUGGGGAUGCGAUGCUUAUGUAAAAAGGCUUCAGCCUGAUAAGCUUGAACCCAAAUCGGAGAAGUGCGUCUUCAUAGGAUACCCUAAGGAAACAAUCGGGUACACCUUCUACCACAUAUCCGAAGGCAAGAUCUUUGUUGCUAAGAACGGAACUUUUCUAGAGAAGGAGUUUCUCUCGAAAGAAGUGGGUGGGAGGAAAGUAGAACUUGAUGAGGUAACUGUACCUUCUCUCAAUUUGGAAAGUAGCUCAUCUGAGAAAUCCAUUCCUGUGAUGCCUACACCAACUGGAGAGGAAGAUAAUGAUAAUGAUCAUGAAACUUCAGAUCAAGUUGCUACAGAACCUUGUAGGUCAACCAGAGCACGAUCCACACCAGAGUGGUAAGGUAAUCCUGUUCUGGAAGUCAUGUUACUUGACCAUGACGAACCUAUGAACUAUGAAGAAGCUAUGAUGAGCCCAGAUUCCAAUAAAUGGCUUGAGGCCAUGAAACCUGAGAUAGGAUCCAUGUAUGAGAACAAAGUGUGGACUUUGGUGGAUCCGCCCGAUGAUCGGCGACCCAUAGAGAAUAAAUGGAUCUUCAAGAAGAAGACUAAUGUUGAUGGUAAUGUUACUAUCUAUAAAGCUCGACUUUUCACAAAAGGUUUUCGACAAGUUCAAAGAGUUGACUACGAUGAGACUUUCUCACCCAUAGCGAUGCUUAAAGUCUGUCCGAAUCAUGUUAGCAAAUGCUGCAUUUUAUGAUUAUGAAAUCUGGCAAAUGGAUGUCAAAACUGCAUUCCUUAAUCGAUUUCUUAAAGAAGAAUUGUACAUGAUGCAACCAGAAGGUUUUGUCGAUCCUAAAGGUGCUAACAAAGUGUGCAAGCUCCAGCGAUCCAUUUAUGGACUAGUGCAAGCAUCUCGGAGUUGGAAUAUACGCUUUGAUGAGGUGAUCAAAGCAUAUGGUUUUAUACAGACUUUUGGAGAAGCCUGUAUUUACAAGAAAGUGAGUGGGAGCUCAAUAGAAUUUCUAAUAUUAUAUGUGGAUGACAUAUUGUUGAUCGAAAAUGAUGUAGAAUUUCUGGAUAGCAUAAAAGGAUACUUGAAUAAAAGUUUUUCAAUGAUAGACCUUGGUGAGGCUUCUUAUAUAUUGGGCAUCAAGAUCUAUAGAGAUAGAUCAAGACGCUUGAUAGGACUUUCACAAAGCACAUACCUUGAUAAAGUUUCGAAGAAGUUCAAAAUGGAUCAGUCAAUGAAAGGGUUCUUGCCUGUGUUACAAGGUGUGAAGUUGAGUCAAACUCAAUGCCCGACCACUACAGAAGAUAGAGAGAAUAUGAAAGUCAUUCCCCAUGCCUCAGCCAUAGGUUCUAUCAUGUAUGCUAUGCUGUGUACCAGCUGAUGUGUGCCUUGCUAUAAGUUUAGCAGGGAGGUACCAAAGUAAUAUAGGAGUGGAUCACUGGACAACAGUCAAUAACAUCCUGAAGUACCUGAAAAGGACUAGGGAUAUGUUUCCCGUUUAUGGAGGUGAAAAAGAGCUUGGCGUAAGUGGUUACAUCGACGCUAGCUUUGACACUGAUCCGGAUGACUCUAAGUCACAAACCGGAUAUGUAUUUUUAUUGAAUGGUGGAGCUAUAAGUUGGUGCAGUUCUGUCGGUGUUCUGGGAACGGGGGUCCCCAGACUUGCCUGCCUGCGGCCUGCGGCGUGGCUCAAGGGGUGGCCCAGUACGGCCCAUCUUCAUCAACUCAAGCUCAAGACCCUCGCGAGGGUCCAAACCUUGCGGGACGGACGACGAAAGGCUUCCUCAGGAGCGGCCUCACCAGGAAGGCUCGCGAGGAGGCGGAGAGAUCAAGGCAGGGGUACCUCGCGAGGUGCUCGUGAAGCAAGCUGUGACGAUCGAGACCAGGCGGGCGUCGCCUUGUGUAGUGUCCUUGUUUCCUCUUUGGUGCAAAGGGGGCAAGGACAGGCGCGGAGUACCGAGGCAUCAGGCAAAAGGUUACCAUUUUGGUGCAACGAGACCAAGACCAGCAGAGCGGUAGGAUGGAGGUCAUCGUGGAGCCCAGGACGGCGUCAUCGCCAGUACCUUUGGCAGCCGAAGACCAACUUUAGUCAGGAUAACUUGUACUAGAUGUUCCCCUUCAAAAUGGCCGUUGUUGGCGCCCUUCCCGCUCAAUAUUUGGGAAGAGGACCAGGGCCUCUAUAAAUAGGGCUAGCCACCACAGUAGAGGACAAUCUUAUCGAGAUCAUCAGGAUCUAAGCCAAAGCCAUCGAGAGCGGAUCGAACCCUUCUCAGGCAAACCACUACCACAAGAACACCUCUCGCGAGGCUGUUCUUCCCUUGUACUGUUCAUCCUCAGCCCCUGAGGCAAUACACCACACCACACACUGGAGUAGGGUAUUACACCACAACGGUGGCCUGAACCAUUAUAAAUCUUGUGUCCCUCGUGUUGUUCAUCGUUGUAGCUUAGAUUCUCAGCGAGGUGUUGGAAUGUGGAUCGGUAGGGGGAAGACCUUCAUGCGCACCCCAGAGUUCGAACCUUAAGGGUUUUGCCGGAACCCGAUAUCCGACAUUUGGCGCGCCAGGUAGGGGUGCGCUGGAGCUCUCCCUUCCGUCGACCCGCUCUUCGUCAACAUCGCGCUUCGUCCUCAUGGCGGACAGUGCGCCGCCCGCUCCGGCUACCGACGCCGGCCCUGGGGCUAGGGGGCUCUGAGCCAUGGCCCCCGCCUUGCAACAGGUGCAGUGGCCGAACAAGUUCAAGCCAGACAUGCCGCCGCGUUACGACGGCGUGGCGGACCCGCUAGCUUUCCUGCUGGCAUAUGAGGAGGCCGUCCUCAAGGCCGGGGGCGACGACAUGGUCAUGGCUAACUGGUUGCCCAUGGCCCUCACCGGCCUCCCGCGCAUGUGGCUGCUCCACCUGCCAGCGGCUUCGGUGGCCUCCUGGGAGGAGCUGCGCAACCUCUUCCUCGCCCAUUAUGCUGCGCCUGUGCCCCCGGUCGUUGCAGCUCUCCUGGGCGGCUCACAAGCCCCACCCUCGAGCCGCCACGUCAAGCCGUUCGUCCGCCAGAUCGGCGCCGCACUCAAGUGCCACGAAGCCCCCCCGGGCUGGGUGACACCCAAGGCCGACUUGACCUUCAGCUCGGACGAUCACCCCUCCAACACCACUUGCUUGGGCGCGCUCCCGAUGCUAUGCACCCCCACCAUCUGCCAGGUGGCCGUCACCAGGACCCUCACCGAUGGCAGUGCCAGCCUCAACAUGCUCUCGGUGGAGGCCUUCAGCCUCCUCCACGUGCCGCUGGAGCGACUCCAACCCAGCAGGCCCUUCUCGGGCGUCGGAGGCAGUUCCACCGACUCCCUAGCACAGAUCCGCCUCCCGGUGACCUUUGGCACCCAUGACAACUUCCGCACGGAGCUGGUCGACUUCGACAUCGCCGCCAUUGGCCUCCCGUAUAACACCGUCCUCGGCUACCCAGCCUUGGCCCAGUUCAUGGCGGCGACUCACCCAGCCUACAACCUCAUGAAGAUGCCGGGAGCAGCGGUGUCCUCACCGUGUUUGGAGAUACAAAAGAUGCCCUGCAGGCACUCAGGCUUGCCUUCAAGGCGGCCUCCUUGGCGCAACCUGCUGGCGCUUGCACCCUCGAGGCCAAGGGGGCUGCGCCAAGCAAGAAGAAGCAGUUGUUCACCCAAGACAAGGCGGAGACCAAGCAAGCGUCGGUCGAUGAGGAUGGAUCCUCCGGCGCCACCUUCACCAUAGGCGCCAAUCUCAACCCCGAACAAGAAGAGGCCUUGGUGAAGUUCCUGCGCGCGAACAAGGAGGUGUUCGCAUGGGAACCCGAGCAGCUAGCGGGGGUUCCAAGGGAGGUGAUUGAGCAUCAUCUAAACGUGUGCCCCAAUGUGCACCCCGUGAAGCAGAAGGCAAGGAGACAAUCCACCGAAAAGCAGGCCUUCAUCAUCCAAGAAACCCAUAAGCUUGAAGUUGCGGGUGUCAUUCGCGAAGUUCGUUAUCCUGAAUGGCUGGCCAACCCUGUUGUUGUGCUGAAGAAGGGGGGAAAGGAGUGCAUGUGCAUCGACUUCACUGAACUCAACAAAGCCUGCCCUCAAGACCCGUUCCCGCUCCCUCGCAUUGACCAGAUCGUCGAUUCCACCACCGAGUGCGACCUGCUGUGCUUCCUGGAUGCCUUCUCUGGCUAUCACCAGAUCAAGAUGGCGGUAGAAGACAUGGAGAAAACGGCCUUCCUGACCCCAUGCUGGGUGUACUGCUACACCUGCAUGCCGUUCGGGUUGUGCAACGCAGGCGCAACCUUUCAGCGACUGAUGCAUAUCGCCUUGGGCCGGCAGCUCGGGGGAAACGUAGAGGCCUAUGUUGACGACAUCGUGGUAAAGUCUUGGGAGGCCAAAACCCUGAUACAGGACCCAGAAGAAACCUUCGCGAGCCUUCGCGAGGUGGACCUGCGGCUCAACCCGGAGAAGUGCGUGUUCGGUGUUCCUUCUAGCAAGCUUCUGGGCUUCCUUGUGUCCCACAGAGGUAUUGAGGCUAACCUGGAGAAAGUCAAGGCAGUCGACGACAUGAGCCCACCGCAAACCCUCAAGGAAAUGCAGAAGCUCACUGGGCGAGUGACCGCAUUAGGGCGCUUCAUCUCCAAGCUGGGGGAACACCCCCUGCCCUUUUUCAAGCUGAUGAAGAAGAAGGGUCCACUCGAAUGGACUCAAGAGGCUGACAAAGAGUUCCAUGACCUCAAGAAGUACCUGAACAGCCCACCAGUGAUGGUGGCUCCAUGCCCUCGGGACCCCUUGGUUCUCUACCUUGCCGCCACACCCUACUCCGCCAGUGCAGCUCUAGUGGCGGUACGGGAGGAGCGUCAGGUCAAGGUUGUGCCACGACCGGCCACGGCCCCGGCCCCGGCAGCACAAGACUAAGAAGGCCUCGCGAAGACCACGGUCGCAGCAGAUGGAGGCCAGCCUCAACAGGGGGACGCCCCCAAGGCUGAAGAGGCCGCACCAGGCAGCCAGGGGCUGGGGGCUCCAUCGUCUCAGGAGGCGCCUGACCCUUCAGAGGGCACCGACCUCACCAGCACGCCUACCCUCGUCGAGCACCCAGUGUAUUUCAUUAGCACAGUGCUGCGAGAUGCGAGGGAACGAUACCCCAUGCCUCAGAAGCUCUUGCCCGCACUAUUAGUGGCCUCGCGCAAGCUACGACACUACUUUCAAGGUCACCCCAUCAAGGUCAUCUCGGCAUAUCCAUUGGAAAGGGUACUCAGGAGUCCCAACUCAGUGGGAAGGGUCGCCGAAUGGAACAUCGAGUUGCAAGCGUUUCAGUUGGAAUUCAGCACGACAAGGGUCGUCAAAGGAGCCACACUUGCAGAUUUUGUGGCAGAAUGUAUAGAGGUGCCAGGGCUUGAAGCAGGCAAAGAUCGGUCACUUUCCCCAGGAGUGAGGCGCCGGACGGCUGGGUCAUGUACUUCGAUGGAGCAUUCUCGCGACAUGGCGCGGGGGCUGGCGCAGUGCUUAUAUCUCCCACUCAGGACAAGCUCUAUUACGCCGUACAACUCUGUUUCCAACAUGGAGAGAAGGUCUCCAACAACAUAGCAGAAUAUGAGGGCCUGAUAGCAGGCUUGAAGGCUGCAGCGACCUUGGGGGUAGAGCGCCUCAUCAUCAAGGGUGAUUCACGGCUCCUCGUCAACUUCUCCAACAAGAUGUACGAGCUAAAGGACAAGCACAUGGAAGCAUAUCUCGCGGAGGUCCGCAGAAUGGAAAAGCAGUUUUGGGGGUUGGAGUUGCAGCAUGUGCCCCGCGGCACCAAUCAAGAGGCUGAUGACAUCGCCAGGAGGGCGUCCAGGCAGCUGCCUCAAGAGCCCGACGUCUUCAAGGAACGACUCUUCAAGCCCUCAGCAGCACCGUCACUAUCAAGUGCAGCGCAGCCUCGGGAGGAACUCCCUCAACCACCAGCCUCAGGAGCUCCGGCCUGUGGCCCGACCUCAGGAGCAUGCUUGCUCCUGGUGCUGGAGCCUCUGGAGGGAUGUUGGACUGCGGAACUCAAGGAUUACCUGAUGCAAGGGACUCUGCUAGAGAAGGAGGAGGACGCGGAACGCGUGGCGCGGCAGGCCACAGCAGGCCACGGCCUACUGCAUCCAAGAUGGAGAGCCCUACCGGAAGCGGCCAAAUGAUGUUUCCCUAUGUUGCAUCUCCAGGGAGCAGGGGAAAAAGUUGCUGGCAGACAUUCACGGUGGAGACUGUGGGCAACACUCUGUCGGCGUCCUGGGAACGGGGGUACCCAGACAUGCCUGCCUGCGGCCUAUGACGUGGCUCAAGGAGUGGCCCAGUACGGCCCAUCUUCAUCAACACAUGCUCAAGACCCUCGCGAGGAGCCAAGCCUCGCGGGGCGGACGACAGGAAGCUUCCUCAGGCACAGCCUCGUCAGGCUGGCUCGCGAGGAGGCGGAGAGAUCAAGGCAGGGUACCUCACGAGGUUCCCGUGACGCAAGUCAUGAUGACCAAAGCCAGGCGGGUGCCAGGCGGGCGCCGGCCAGCGCAGAGUCCUUGUUUCCUCUUUGGUGCAAAGCGGGCAAGCGCGGGCGAGAGUAUCAAGCAAAGGCAACCAUUUUGGUGAAACAAGACCAAGACCAGCAGCACGGCGGGAUAGAGGUCAUCGUGGAGCCCAAGCCGGCGUCACCGUCAGAGUCUUUGGUAGGCGAGGACCAACUUUAGCCAGGAUAAGUGUACUAGAUGUUCCCCUUCAAAAUGGCCAAUUGUUGGAGCCCUUUCCGCUCAAUAUUUGGGAAGAGGACCAAGGCCUCGCUCUAUAAAUAGGACUAGCCACUCUCAAGGCAAGGGGUCGACCAAUCGAACCUUAGCCAGAACCACCAACACAAGAACCCCUCCCCUCGCGAGGCCGUUCUUUCUUUGUAUUGUUCAUCAUCAGCCCCUGAGGCAAUCCACCACACCACAAACUAGAGUAGGGUAUUACACCACAAUGGUGGCCGGAACUAGUAUAAACCUCGUGUCCCUUGUGUUGUUCUUCGUGUAGUGUAGAUUCUUGCGAGGCGACGAGACAUGAGUAGGUAGGAGGUGAGAUCUCCGCGCGCACCCCAGAGUUCAAACCUUGAGGGUCUACCGGAACCCGAAAUCCGACAUUUGGUGUGCCAGGUAGGGGUGCGCCGGAAUCCUUCUCCCACCGCCUCGCGUACCGUCGCAUCGUCGCCAUCAUGUCCGGCGACCCAACGGGCAAUCCCGAUCCCUGGGCGGCCUGGCCUGCCCGCACAGAGCCGCUUGCCCAGGGCGACCUCAACCCCGUGCCCCAGGCAGCCCGCGGUCCGCAGGGCAUUGCGGGCCGCGGGUGACGCGGUCAGGCGGCACCAGCUCUCACGCCGCGGCAGGUGCAGUCGGCAGCGAGGGCCUCAAGCCACGCCGCGGCCACGGCGCCAUACACCUGGCGGGAGCAGGCGAACUUAAGGGCCGCGCUCACGGUGGCCCGAGAGCUACUGCAAUGCAGGCUGCUGGAGGGCGGCCACGACGUGCUACUGGAGCGGGUGGCAGAGCUCCUGGGCUCCGCCGCCUCGGGGGCUCACCCCUUCUGCACCCAGCUGCCGCCUCAGGUCCAAGGCGGACCACAUGAAGGCCCCGCACGCGCCCGCACAGCUCCAAGCGGAUUCCAAGGCCGCCCCAACGCCAACUUGGCCAUCAGCGCCGGGCUACCAACAGUGCCGCCUCCGCCUCCAACCAGUGAAGGGGGAUUCACUACAGCCCAUGGCCCCGGUGGGCCGCCGCGCUACCUUCCCCAGGUGGGCACCUCAAGCAGGACCGCGUGGCACACGGGGCACUAGAGCGAGGCAUUCGGGGUGGCGGCCCCGGAAGCGUAUGUGCCCCACAUGGUGGAUCAAGGGCACGCGUAGGAGGAAGACCAUGGCUCGUUCCUCGGCCCAGGCUGGGGGGAAGAGACGCCGGAAGCUGAGCUCUUUCAGGAGCCCCGGGAAAGCCUGGUCAACCGCGCUGGAGGUAACGACUAUCGGGUACCGCUAAUUCCUCAGGAACAGGCAUACGCUAACCAUGGAUCACAGGAGGUACAGGUCGUCGCAGCGGACGGCUGCCCCAAUCCAGCAGCUUCCUACCCCUCAGGAGGAGGGUACCGCGGGCUGCAGGAAAGGGGUCGAGAUUCGGCCUCACCCCACGGCGCUCGGAGCAAGGCGUCCUCAGGAGGUAGGCCCUCUGCCGGGGAGGUGCCUCAGGGCCUACCCCCGGCAGAGGACCCGUGGUCGUGGGGGGAACCGCUGGCGACCGCUCUAUCCCAUCGGCAGUGUCCUCGGUCUCCGGCCAUCAUCGAUGGCAAUAGAGUGUGGAGCAAGGCGGGGCCCUCGUCUGGCGAUAUGAAGUAAGGCCGAUACCUGUGAAGAAGGCCCAGUGCCUGUGAAGCUCGCCGCCCCAUGACACUCUCACGUAAUAAUGAGUGGGGCUGUACACGCCUCGGAGUCUCCGGAGAGCCGCCCUCAGGCCUCGGGGGCUCCCGCCCACGCCCAGUGGCAGCACUUAGCUCCGCGCUGGUGAGAAGACGUCGAAGACUAUACUAGGUGCCGGACGCGGCCUUUCUGCCUUUUUGCCUUUCCCUUGGUUGUCGUUUUCCCCAUGUUUGAAUUUAAGUUGGAUUUGAGCUUGAGACUUGCGUGUGUUCGGGGAAGGGGUGUUUAGUCUCAUUCGAGCAAUCUCUCGUGUUCUGGCUACCGCUUUGCAUCCCUCUAGCUUCAGAUGCCUCCCCUCGUGAGCCCCUCGCGAGUCGGGCCAAGCCCAGCAUGCGUGCAGCCCGGGCUGCCGUCACCGCGCCGUCUCAGGAGGUUCUCACUAAAGGCUCAAUGGGUUCAUUGAGGAGACACUCGGGACAUCGCGGCCCCCCGCGGACUCGCUCAGGACCCAUGCGAGUCGAAGGUAAACAAGACAAUUGACUCAUCACGAGACCAACCGCUCGGUGUAGGCAUGCAGGCGACAUCAUGUAUACAAAAAUGCUAACUGCAAGUUUUUACACGAGGGGCUCCCCCUCCCAAAAUGCUCUUACAACCUUCAGGGCCAAGCAGGAACUCUCUCUGCGCAGGGUAAAAAGCAGGAAUAACGCACGGUCAAUCGGAUAAAUCCCCCAAUGCAUCCUCAGGGGCACCUCCGGAGUCGUCACUAGCGUCGCUAGCCUCACCAUUGCCCUCUGCAUCGCCGUCAUCAGCAUCCGGGCCAUUCACCACGCCGCCCUCGCCAGCAACCACGACCACGCCGUCGUCAUCGGAGGUGAAGGCCCUAACAAGGGCGUCCACAUUGUCUUCCACCCAAUGCGCCAGGUCACCCCGGAUGGCCAGGGGUACCGGUGCGAUGGCGGCUUCGAAGUCAAAAUGGGGGUCCCUGUCCUGAAGAUGACUGAAGACGCGAGAAAAAGCACGUCCAAGCAGGGCACGACUCCUCUCCUCCACCAACCUGUCGGCUCUGCCCGACCGAGUCUCUAGCUGCGUCACCACAUCAGUCAAGAACUAAAGGUUACCAGCAUAGUUAACCUCAUGAGGCUCCCCAACGGCUGCCUCGCAGAUGUUGCCCAAGGCCGUGUUAGCUCUCUCCCGGAGCGUGCGGAGCAUGGGGCCAUGCAUGUGCUCCAAGGUCUGCCGCUGGUGUAUCUCAUCCUCAUUCCGCCGUGCGACGGCCUCAGCCACGUCAACCCUUUAACAGAGGAGGAGCACCUCGGCGCAGGAAGAAGCCAGCUCCACCUGCGCUGCGCCAAGGGCGGCCCCGGCGGCAUCCGUACACCGCGUCGCUUCAUCCAGCCUGGCCUUAAGGACGGCGGUCCUGCCCUCUGCUUCGACCCUGAUCAGCUCCAGCCUUUCCCUGUACUCGCGCUCGAGGUUCGAGCGAGCCUCCGCCACCCGACGGUCAACCUCUUCUUGGGCCCGGGCUUCCCACGCGGCGACAUUGUCCUCCGCCUGCGCCACCAGGCGCUCCCUCGUCUCCAACCGCUCGAGGUCAAGGGUGCGCUCAGCGGCCUCCUGCGUCAGUGCCUCCUCACAUCUCUGGAGCUCCGCCUGGUCAACCGAAGCCCCCUUCAUAGACGCAAGGGCCGCCUCAUGCAGCUCCACCUGCUGCUCCAGGGAGCUACUCCAGGCUUGGAGCUCCCACGCCCGCUCCUCUGCAGCCUUGCGCCGCUGGUCAGCCUCCCGGGCCUCCUCGACGCCCUGGGAGCAGGCCUCUCGAGAAGCCGCCAGCAGCGCCUCGGCCUUCGCAUUGUCGAGGUCACGCUGGUGGCGCGCAAGGGCAAUGGCCACCUUCAGCUUGCGCCUCUCCUCAGCUAGGCGCAGGCCCUCGGCCUCAAGGCGCGCGUCCUCGACGGCAAGCUCUACACCGAGCUGGCUCACUGCAUCAGCCGCCCUCUGGAGAAACCCUUGGUGAAGGGCGCGGCACUCCCGAGCACGCUUGACCACGUCUUCCGCAUCGUUCUCCACCCUUGGCGUGCACGGAGGGCCACGAACCAGCACGCCCCCUCUAGGCAGGGGGCUGGAGGCCGGCGCCCUCGUGAUGGCCGGGCGCGCCCCGCCUGGAGCCUGGCUCGGAGCCGGUUCGUCCUCCAAGGAAGAAUACGAGACCGACCUCAGCCAGUCGCCGUCCAUGACCAAAGGAAGAGCCCGGGGUAGGCUAGCUGUGCCCUAGGAGAGCUCGCGAAGGAGGGUCGCGAGGUGCACAGAAUCAGGAUGCUCUGCAAGAUGGCUCACCUCUCCAACCGACUUCACAACAAGGGCAGUACUUGAGCUCGAGACGCUUGGGGUCGGUGGAGAGGGUGAGGCCUGGGGAGAUGGCCCCUCGGCCGUCGCCAUGAACUCGGCAGGAAGGGCCCUGCAGGGCAAUGGUCUACUGAAGCAACAGGAAAGUAAGGGACUAAGAAAGGAGAAGGCUUACUCAUCAAUGGCGAAGUACUUCCUGCGAUUCAAUAGGCGGCAGGGGUAAUCAUCACCACCCAAGGCCUCCCUUCUCUUUCGGAGAGCCUCGAAGUCCAUGUAGAAGCGGCCUAGGAGCUCGGCGCAAGGGUCAGUCUGCGGCGAGGAAGAAGCACCAAGGUUACCGGCGUCGGGGACAUUACCCUGGCGCAUGCCGCCAGACGCCACCCCGUUGAGGGUGGCCGGGGCCUCAGGAGCCUCUGCCACGGAAGCCGCGGGCCGCGGCUCAACGCCUUCGUCCGCCGUAGGGAAGGCCUCAGAAACUGCCACCUCAGGAGUUCCGCGCGACGUCAUUAUCCCGACGGCAGCCCCCUCAGCCCCCGGUGGCCCUUGCCUCCCAGCUCCACCACUCGAGGAAGGACUGCCGCGGGCAACCGGGAGGGCAACCACAACAAUUGGGUUCUCACGAGGUCCCAUGAGGCCUGCUGGGAGCAGCCCCCAUUCAUCGAAGAUGGGCAUCUGCUUCACUAAAUCAGCCCUGCCUGAGCAAAGGUAUAGCAAGACGCCCCCUUGCCGAAGGCUGCCAGGGGAAGGGUCCCCAGUCAGAAUCAUGAGAACCUUCCUCAGCAUUUCAGGCGCCAGAUCUUCCUUCUAGAGCCUCAUGCAGUCUUCACACCCCCCGAAGGUCCACAUCCGGUGGGAAUGAUGUGGGAGAGGGGCAAUGCGGCUCUGGAGGAACUCCUUCACCACCUUGGGAGCCGUCACACCGAGCGCCCUCAAGUUGCCGAAGCAACACCAGACGAAGGCGAGCCGGGGGCUCGUGAGCGUCUCAUGGCCCCAGCCCGAGUUGGGGACAGCGGGCAAGGUUGGCUCCGAGAGCAGGGGGCUGGGCACUCCGACAUCCAUGUACAACCACCGCUCUCGGAACCCAGUCACAGGCGGAGGAAGGCUGAAAUCAAUCCCUGAGGCUGCUGCUUACGGUGCGGCGAGGAAGCUCACGCACCCCGAGCAUUGGGUGGGGUUGCUGAGGUGCAAAGAGAAGAAGUGGCGCAACAAGGCAACUGAAGGAGGAAUGCUCACCAUCGCCUCGCAAACAAAAGCGAAGACGCCAAGGAGAGCAAUGGAUUCGGGACCCAAAUGCAUCAUGUGAAUCUGGUAAUGGGAAAGUACGGCGUUGAAGAAAUCGGAAAAGGGGGGAACCAGUCCCACCCACAGGGCAUCAGUGAAGUACCGGACCUCGGUGACUAUUCUGUCAAUGGAGAAGUGAGACGCGGGCCAGACCGUCAUCCUCCCACACUUAUUGAAGGUGGUGGCAAGGGCGAAACUGACCUUGCCCAAGGCUUCCAGAUUGAGUAUGAUCGACUGAUCGACAGCAGGAGCCGCCGACGGUGGCGAGCGGGGUGAGGGCACAUGGUUCUUCCCUUUCCCCUUCUUCGUUGGCACCAUGGUGACAGGAAGGGAGAGGGUUCGAGAUUGGAUUGGAAGCGGAGGUUGGAGCUCAGGGGGAAGAAGAGCAGGGGACGCAUGAGCGACAAGAAGAGGGAUGACUGUGUGCAACUGCGGGCCCGCCUAGCCGGGCGCAAAAUAAGGAGGCAUGGGAAAACAGGGACGCCCGCGCCCAAUCAACCGCCACGCGGCGCCCAAGGCCGCAGGCUAUUGGGGCCCACGGCGCUUCGCACUUGCCCCUUCGCUUCUCUGCUAAGCCAAUUCCAGGCGCGCCUUGGGCCAGGGGGCUACUGUCGGCAUUCUGGGAACAGGGGUACCCAGACUUGCCUGCCUGCGGCCUACGGCGUGGCUCAAGGAGUGGCCCAGUAUGGCCCAUCUUCAUCAACACAUGCUCAAGACCCUCGCGAGGAGCCAAGCCUCGCGGGGCGGACGACAGGAGCUUCCUCAGGCUAGCUCGUGAGGAGGCGGAGAGAUCAAGGCAGGGUACCUCACGAGGUUCCCAUGACACAAGCCAUGACGACAAAGCCAGGCGGGCGCCAGGCGGGCGCCGGCCUGCGCAGAGUCCUAGUUUCCUCUUUGGUGCAAAGGGGGCAAGCGCAGGCGAGAGUAUCAAGCAAAGGCAACCAUUUCGGUGCAACAAGACCAAGACCAGCAGAACGGCAGGAUGGAGGUCAUAGUGGAGCCCAAGCCGGCGUCACUGUCAGAGUCUUUGGUAGGUGAGGACCGACUUUAGUCAGGAUAAGUGUACUAGAUGUUCGCCUUCAAAAUGGCCAAUUGUUGGCGCCCUUUCCGCUCAAUAUUUGGGAAGAGGACCAAGGCCUCGCUCUAUAAAUAGGACUAGCCACUCUCAAGGCAAGGGGUCGACCAAUCGAACCUUAGCCAGAACCACCAACACAAGAACCCCUCCCCUCGUGAGGCAGUUCUUUCUUUGUAUUGUUCAUCAUCAGCCCCUGAGGCAAUCCACCACACCACAAACUAGAGUAGGGUAUUACACCACAAUGGUGGCCCGAACUAGUAUAAACCUCGUGUCCCUUGUGUUGUUCUUCGAGUAGUUUAGAUCCUUGCAAGGCGACGAGACGUGAGUAGGUAGGAGGUGAGAUCUCCGCGCGCACCCCAGAGUUCGAACCUUGAGGGUCUGCCGGAACUCGAAAUCCGACACACUCGUCGUCACAGACCCUUGGCGGCAAGGCGUUUCACAGCGGGUCCUAUUGGCCUACGGCACUCAAUGACGCAAUCGAGCUAGUGAAGGCUCGUGAAGCCUGUGAAUUCCACGCCAAGCAGAUUCAUCAGCUGGCUCAGGGCCUGCAGACCAUUCCACUCACAUGGCCGUUCACGGUUUGGGGGCUGGACAUUUUGGGCCCGCUUCCCCGGGCGCCAGGGGGCUAUCGCUACCUCUGCUUCGCCAUUGACAAGUUCACCAAAUGAGCAAAGGUGGAAGCUGUUCGCACCAUCCCAGCUGGUUCAGCAGUCAAGUUCAUCAAGGGCCUCGUGAGCCGGUUCGGGGUGCCUAGUCGCAUCAUCACUGACAACGGUUCGCAGUUCACCAGCAAUCUCUUCAAAACAUAUUGUGCUAACCUUGGAACGCAGAUAUGCUACGCUUCGGUGGCACACCCUCGGAGCAACGGCCAGGCUGAACGUGCCAACGCAGAGGUCCUGAAAGGCCUCAAAACCAGGACCUUCAAGAAGAAGCUGGAGGCCUGCGGCAGGGGCUGGUACAACGAGCUCCAGUCUGUGCUGUGGUCCAUCCGCACAACCGGUACCAAGUCAACCGGCGAAACCCCGUUCUUCCUCGUCUACGGAGCAGAGGCGGUCCUCCCUCACGAGGUCAGGCGUCACUCCGCGCGGGUCCUGGCAUUUGACGAAGCGCAGCAAGACGCCAUGCGGGGGAUGGAUCUCGUGCUGGGGGAGGAACACCGUUGGGAGGCCGUGCUUCGAGCGGCAAGAUACCAGCACGCGCUGCGGCGGUACCAUUGCCGCAACAUCCGCCCCAGGACUCUCAAGGUAGGUGACCUCGUGCUCAGGCGGGUGCUCUCCAGGGCAGGGUUGCACAAGCUCUCGCCCAUGUGGGAGGGCCCGUUCAAGGUUGUUCAUGUUUCCAGACCUGGUGCUGCGCGCUUGGAGACCCAGGAGGGGGUGCCCAUCCCGAACGUGUGGAACAUUCAGCACCUCCGAAGAUUUUACCCUUGAAGUAAGGCCCGGUGCUUGUAAGGAAGGCCCAACACCUGUGAAGCUCGUCGUCCCAAGGAAAGGGCCAGUGCCUGUUAAGAAGGCCCAGUGCCUGUGAAGCUCAUCGCCUCAAGAAAAGGACCGAUGCCUGUGAAGAAGGCCAAUGCCUGUGAAGAAGACCAAUGCUUGUGAAGCUCGCCGCCCGUGACACUCUCAUGUAAUAAUGACUUGGGGCUGUACACGCCCCGGAGUCUCCGGAGUGCUGCCCUCGGGCCUCGGGGGCUCCCUCCCAUGCCCAGUGGCAGCACUUAGCUCCACGCUGGUGAGAAGACGUCGAAGACUAGAUUAGGUGCCGGACACGACUUUUCAUUUGCUUUCUGCAGUUGGCUUGUUCGUCCUUGUUUGAAACUUUAUUGGAGUUGCUUUUAGCGUUGUUUGCCGUCCCCAGCCCGUGAUCCUCUACUUUUGUUGCCCUCCUGACACGUCUUCUCUUCCGCAAGCCUCGCGAGGGGGCUGCGCGGGCGCCCUCGCGAGUAUCUUCUGACCUAAUUUCGUGAGGCUUCCCUGCUCAAGUUCACAGUGGGAGCACUCCUCCCGAUACAUGCCCCACGGGCAUCGCGACACGAACAUAGGACCUGAGCCAGUCACCCUCACGACUGGGGUUCAAAAGCUAUCCAUCCGGCUAAUUUUUUGCAGGCCUCAAGACGCUCGACAAGGCCUUAGGCAGGAGCCUCGUGAGGCGAAGACUGCAGCGAGUCCCCCCGAGCUAAGUUGUUCCUAUGCAUGAGCACGCAAUACCGUAACACGACAUGGGAAUAAUGGAAAUAGCAUGAUAAUUGAAGGCAACAGUCCAGGACGCCCCCACAGGGCUCCACACUUCUCUCUCUCUCUCUAUGCAGGAAAAUGAGAAUAAAUAAAUAAACACAGCUUGCCAAGCGACGACUCGCAGAGGGGAUUCGCACCAUCCUCUGGAGCUCAAUCAGACCCCUCCUCAUGCUUCACCGAGGCGCGACGGUGGGAUGACCUGCUACCCCCCUCGAAGUGAGCACGGUGGCGCGGUGGUUGAUCACGGCCGCCACUGGAGGAGCUGUCCUUAGAGGGGGAGCCGCUAAAGCUUGGCGAGUUGCGGACGCCGCCAGGCAUGGGCUCGCCUUCGUCUUCGUCACGGCCGUCGCCGAGGCUAAGCACCCGGUCGCUGUCAUCAUCUUCAGGUUAGCACCCAGAACGGCGGCCAUCCUCUCUGAACACCCUCACGUAGAGGGUGGAGUCACCGUUGAACUUGAAAUGCAGGGUGCACCGCCGGCCCAGGCCGCGCGCGCGGGCAAACGUCUGGAAGCCGGGGGGCCAAGGCCACGUUUCUGAUAACGGAGACCUCCACCGCCACCCAGGAGGCCCUACUGCAGCAGCCGUCCGCCUGAAGCCAGAGCCCACCAGUGGCACUGGCCGGCAGUUCACCGGCGAAGAAGUGGGGGAGCUGAAGCCAGUUGCCGGCCGGAUCCGCCGACCAAAUGACAAAACUCUGGCAGCACCUCUGUUGAGUGAAAGCACGAGCGGGGAGGCCACGCAGCCACGACGCAUCUUCCCCCGCCAAUCGAGCGACCUUCACCAUGCAAAGGACCUCUACCGCGAUCACGGGCAGCCACUGCGGGAGUCGCGGGGAGCUUGCAGGGACGACCUCGGCCGCGCUUGGGCGGAGGAGAGCCAGGCCCUUCCUGGCGAAACUUCCCCUUCUUUACGGCCGAAAACCUCUUCGUAGGCGCCAUGGGACACAACAAGCAGAUGGGGGAGGAGCAAGGAAGAAGGAGCAGAGCAAGAAGAGAUGGACUGCGGGGGCUCGCGGCCCCCUCGCAUUUAUAGCCCAAUGGAGGCCAACCACCGGCCUCCACGAUCACAGGUAAUCAUGACUCAUUUUUGCAUGCAAGGACUUGUCAAGUCGGGCAAUUGCCGAGGCGGCAUGGGGAAGAGGAGACGCCCACGUCCAAUCAACCGCCACGCGGCUACCAAGGCCACAGGCUGUUGGGGCCCGUGGCGCUCCGCACUUGCCCCUUCGCUUCUCUGCUAAGCCAAGUCCGAGCGCGCCUUGGGCUCGGGGGCUACUGUCGGUGUUCUGGGAACGGGGGUCCCCAGACUUGCCUGCCUGCGGCUUGCGGCGUGGCUCAAGUGGUGGCCCAGUACGGCCCAUCUUCAUCAACUCAAGCUCAAGACCAUCGCGAGGGGCCAAGCCUCGCAGGGCGGACGACGAAAGGCUUCCUCAGGAGCGGCCUCACCAGGCAGGCUCGCGAGGAGGCAGAGAGAUCAAGGCAGGGGUACCUCGCGAGGUGCUCGUGAUGCAAGCCGUGACGAUCGAGACUAGGCGGGCCCCAGCCUGCGCAGUGUCCUUGUUUCCUCUUUGGUGCAAAGGGGGAAAGCACAUGCGCGGAGUACCGAGGCAUGAGGCAAAUGUUACCAUUUCGGUGCAACAAGACCAAGACCAGCAGAGCGGUAGGAUGGAGGUCACCAUGGAGCCCAGGACGGCGUCAUCGCCAGUACCUUUGGCAGCCGAAGACCAACUUUAGUCAGGAUAACUUGUACUAGAUGUUCCCCUUCAAAAUGGCCAUUGUUGGCGCCCUUCCCGCUCAAUAUUUGGGAAGAGGACCAGGGCCUCUAUAAAUAGGGAUAGCCACCAUAGUAGAGGACAAUCUUAUUGAGAUCAUCAGGAUCUGAGCCAGAGCCAUCGAGAGCGGAUCGAACCCUUCUCAGGCAAACCACCACCACAAGAACACCUCUCGCAAGGCUGUUCUUCCCUUGUACUGUUUAUCAUCAGCCCCUGAGGCAAUCCACCACACCACACACUGGAGUAGGGUAUUACACCACAACGGUGGCCCGAACCAGUAUAAAUCUUGUGUCCCUCGUGUUGUUCAUCCUUGUAGCUUACAUUCUCAGCGAGGCGUUGGAACAUUGAUCGGUAGGGGGAAGACCUUCGCGCGCACCCCAAAGUUCGAACCUUAAGGGUUUUGUCGGAACCCGAUACCCGACAAGUUCCAAGAAGAGCGUCGUGGCGGGAUCUACAUGUGAAGCGGAGUACAUAGCUUCUUCAGAAGCAACAAAUGAAGGAGUCUGGAUGAAGGAUUUCAUAUCCGAUCUAGGUGUAAUACCUAGUGCAUCGGGUCUAAAGAAAAUCUUUUGUGACAAUACUAGAGCAAUUGCCUUGGCGAAGGAAUACAGAUUUCACAAAAAGACGAAACACAUCAAGAGACGCUUCAACUCCAUCCGAGAUUUUUUCAAGAAGGGAGACAUAGAGAUUUGCAAAAUACAUACGGAUCUGAAUGUGGCAGACCCGUUGACUAAGACUCUUCCACGAGCAAAACAUGAUCAGCACCAAGACUCCAUGUGUGUUAGAUUCAUUACAAUGUAAUCUAGAUUAUUGACUCUAGUGCAAGUGGGAGACUAAAGGACAUAUGCCCUAGAGGCAAUAAUUAAGUUGUUAUUUUAUAUUUCCUUAUUCAUGAUAAAUGUUUAUUAUUCAUUCUAGAAUUGUAUUAACCACAAACUUGAUACUUGUGUGAAUACAUAGACAAAACACCAUGUCCUUAGUAUGCCUCUACUUGACUAGCUCAUUGAUCAAAGAUGGUUAAGUUUCCUAGCCAUGGACAUGUGUUGUAAUUUGAUGAACGGGAUCACAUCAUUAGUGGAAUGAUGUGAUGGACAAGACCCAUCCGUCAGCUUAGCAUAAUGAUCAUUCAAUUUUAUUGCUAUUUCUUUCUUCAUGUCAAAUACAUAUUCCUCCGACUAUGAGAUUAUGCAACUCCCGGACACCGGAGGAAUGCCUUUUGUGCUAUCAAACGUCACAACAUAACUGGGUGAUUAUAAAGAUGCUCUACAUGUAUCUAUGAAGGUGUUUGUUGGGUUGGCAUAGAACAAGAUUAUGAUUUGUCACUCUGAGCAUCGGAGAGGUAUCUCUGGGCCCUCUCAAAAAUGCACAUCAUAUGAAGCCUUGCAAGCAAUGUGACUAAUGAGUUAGUUGCGGGAUGAUGCAUUACGAAACGAGUAAAGAGACUUGUCGGUAAUGAGAUUGAACUAGGUAUAAAGAUACUGACAAUCAAAUCUCGGGCAAGUAACAUACCGAUGACAAAGGGAAUAACGUAUGUUGACACUGCGAUUCGACCGAUAAAGAUCUUCGUAGAAUAUGUGGGAACCAAUAUGAGCAUCUAGGUUCCGCUAUUGGUUAUUGACCGGAGAGGUGUCUCGGUCAUGUCUACAUAGUUCUCAAACUCGUAGGGUCCACACACUUAACAUUCGAUUAUGAUAUGUAUUAUAUGAGUUAUGUGUUUCGUGACCGAAGGUUGUUGGGAGUCCCAAAUAAGAUCACGGACAUGACGAGGAGUCUCAAAAUGGUCGAGAGGUAAAGAUUGAUAUAUUGAAGGUAGUAUUCGGACACUGGAAGUUCCAGAGUGUAUCGGGUACAUACCGGAGUACCGGAGGGGUUACCGGAACCCCCCGUGGAAAUAUACGGGCCAUAUGGGCCAUAGGAGGGAAGCAAACCAGCCCACGUAGGUGUGCCCCCCCAAGGGAGGAGUCCGAAUUGGACUAGGGAAGGGGGAGGCGCCCCGUUUCCUGCUCCCUCUCCUACUCUUCCCCUUUCCCCCUCCGGUAAAAGGAAGGGGGGGGGGGGCGAAUCCCACUAGGAGUCCAAGUGGGACUCCUUCCCACUUGGGGCGCGCCUAGGCCGGCCUCCUCUCCAUCGUCCUUUAUAUACUUGGGGCGUGCCUAUGAGACACACCCAUUGUUCAAAGCCGUGUGCGGCGCCCCCCUCCACAGUUUACGCCUCCGGUCAUAUUCUCGCGGUGCUUAGGCGAAGCCCUGCACAGAUCACAUCACCAUCACCGUCAACAUGCUGUCGUGUUGACAGAACUCAUCUACUCCUUCGACCCUCUACUGGAUCAAGAGCUCAAGGGACGUCAUCGCGCUGAACGUGUGCAGAACUCGGAGGUGUCGUACAUUCGAUACUCAAUCGGUCGGAAUGACAAGACGUUCGACUACACCCUAAAAAAAUACACUUCCGUGAUGAUUUUAUGACAGAAUCAAUAUAGUCAUACCUGUGUUGUCGUAGAAGUGUUCCAUGACAUUACCAAAAUUAUCAUCACGGAAGUGUCCACUUCCAUGAUGAUAAAUCACGCGUCAUGGAGGUGCUUUCAUCAAGGGUGACCGACACGUGGCAUCCACCAUAACGGGUCAUCGUUAAGCUAUCGGGUCCAGUUUUGGAUCCGAUAACCCGCUAACAGCCACGACCAAUGGGGAUUUUCCAUGUGUAAAAUCAUCAUUGGCUGGAGGAGACACAUGUUGGCUCACUGUUGGGACAGAUGUCAUCCACUCAUUGGUCCGAAGGCGCCUAUGAUACGUUGACACAUGGCACAGCCCAACAUAGGCCCAUUCCUGUGAAAAGGCCGACCCGUUUGACUUGGUCAAAAGGCAGCGGGCCGGCCCACGGAAAGCCUGUUAAUGUCUUGUUAGCAUAUAGCCCAUUUAUAGCCCACUAACCCAGGGCCCGUUACAACCUAUCCGAAUUAGGCCCAGUAGCGUCAUCUGGGACGUCCAAUAUGAUUCCAGCCUGUUUGAACUUCCGGCCCAUGUAGGGCCCAUGACGUCUUUCAGCCCAUAUGAGGCUCUUUUUAACUCUUGGCCAAUUAACGGACCGUGGUGAAUCUGGCCCGUAAUGAAUAGUGUAUCACUAUAUUCCCAUUAACGGCCAAUUAUUCCAUUGGGCAGUUUCCAUCCCAUGUUAUCUUUCGGACAUUUCAGGGCUCAUUUGUUCUUGGGCUCAUUUCCAGCAUUCGGUUACUUACGGUCCGUUACUGGCCUGUCCCGCUUGUGCGGCAAAUUCAGCCUGUCGUUACAGUCAGCCUGUUUGUGGCAUGUUAACCCAUUGGGCUGUUUUCACAGUGUCAUCAAAUACGGCCUACUACCGGCCUGUUAUGGUUGGGCCAUAAAACACACGACUUCCACUCUAGCCUCUUUAUGACCCAUUUGGCGGACCGUUAUUGGUCCACGAAUGGUACGACCCACAUUUGGCGAAAUGAUUAUAUGGCCCGUAGUAGGCCCAUGGAUCCGUCGGCCCGUAGAAGGCCCACGGAUCCGACAGCCCAUAGAAGGCCCACAUAUCUGACGACCAUAGAAGGCCAUGGAUCCCACGUCCCGUAGAUGGCCCAUGGAUCGUAUGGCCCGUGGAGGGCCAUGGUCACUACAACGUUUGGGCGAGUUGCCCCCCGUUUGAAUGAUAUAGCAUAUUCAAAGAAUUAUCCUACUCUAUACUAUCACCUCUAAAAAACAUACACUAUACAAUAAAGAGACUAAGGCAUAGAAACGUAGACUAAUCGUACACUAUACAAUAAAGAAAUUACAGCCGAUUAUACCCACUGGGCAUUAUGGUUCGGCACCAGUGAUAAUAAAGCAUACACAAACAUCAAAUUACAUACACUGGGCAAAUACAACUCAUACAUCAUGGGCGCGCAUCAACAUAACUUACAAUUUGAACUAUAAUCUCUUUCGAAAAUAGGAUUGGCCAGAUUCAGAUAGCACAAAUUUCAGUCUGCAAAAUCUCCAAUUCCUUCAUGGUUACCCCAGUCUCUCGUUUCAUUCUCUUGACUCCUGCAUCUAAUACCUGCAAGUCCAGUCUCAACUCGUUGAUUGCACGUUCAGAAUCUUGUACACGUUGUCUUGUCACCUCUAGUUGAUGCUCGAGAACAUCAGCACAUUCCAAUUCCAAUCCAUAAUCAUUUGGUAACGGCCAUGUCACACUGCUCACAGAUCUUUGUUUUGAUGUCACUUCAUCCUGAAAUGUUUCUGUAAGUACACAUGACUAGGGCAAAAAUAUAGUUACAAUAGUGAAUCGAGCAAGACAGACUAUUUUGUCCAUGGCAAAACAUGACUAACAAUAAUGUUACACAUCAUGAAGCAUAAGCAGGUGAUAUUUUAAAAAUUAUAAAAAUGGUAGUCUAUGCAACCUGCAUACAAAAAUCUCUCUUAGCUCACUAGAGGAGCAUGAUGUUGGGGCAAAUCCAAAACACAGACAUGUUACAAAUUUAGACAACACGUUGCGUAUAAGCAAGCAGUUGGCCAUUCUGUAGCUCAAUUAAAGUCUUAGGGAGCAUAAUGAACAACAAAGGGAUUCAUACAAACCUACUACAGCAAGCAAAACUAUGCAAUCAUUAGACUAGUAUAAACUAGAUUGUGAGCCUCAUGCAGUAAUAGUUGGUUAAUAGACUUCAAAGCUUCAGGCACACUUCGCGAGAGUAAUUAAAUGGUAAGGCCUUUAAUUAUGUCAACUAAUAUUUAUACAAGUACCCAACAUCAUGCAUCAUUGUUUGGGCAUAUCAUUAAAUGAGGACAAAUAAAGCAAUUGAAAAGAGCAAUUUAACUAUGCCUGAAACAAACAAGCAAUUGAACUGUUGAGUUGGCAACAUGCAUACAUGCACGCCUCAAUAACAUCCAUGGCCUAGCUACAUUUACUAUAUAAAGGGACAACUAAUGUAAUAUUGUUUGCCCCCCCUUAAGUAUCUUGACUAGUAUGUAAUCAAUAUCCUAGUAAUGAUAAGGAGGCUAAUGAUGUGAUAUCCGUUUGGUUAUGACAUUUAUGACAUCGACAACUCUACCAUGGCAGGAAGCAAUUUCACACUGUUCACUACUAUAAGAUGUUUUUGAUAUUUAAAAGUAGACUACAUCCAUAAUGAGUGAACAAACACAUUGAAAUGUGUUUACAUACAUCUGAGUUACAAAAAAAUUUAGAACAUCAUAUAGUAGUGAGUGGAGGGUUUUUUAAUCAAUGGCCCAAUGACUGGGUUACAGGUGAAGAACCCUACGCAAGCACAAUGUCAGACAAAUAGGAUGUCCUGGUAAUUGUAAUACAGUGUGACUUACCUUAACUGGUUGAAUAGGCUCAAUGCUGCUCCUUCUUCUCUUGCCAGGCUCCUUCCUAACAUCUUGUACUUGGAAAUCCUCAACCUUAUCUUCAUUGCACCCCUUCUGCAAGGUGACACAAACUAGUUACUGGUCUCAUUGGAAGAUAAAUAUGCAUACUUUCCAGUCUGUGAACAACAAAAAAGGAUGAUAUUAUAACAAAACAACACCACAUAAUGAAACAUGCCACAUCUCUUACACAUAAUGAAAUGAGCAUUUACUAUGUGUGCAUUAUGUAAAAACUAGGCAUACCUUCAAACUGGAUCUCCAGGUACUCUUGGAGAGCCUAGUUUAGUGUACAGCCAAACCUUUAUGUCACCUAUGCGUUAUACAAGCCCCCACUACAGCAGCCCUUAGUAUUUAAACCAUUGAUAAGCUCUGUUAGGUCAAGAACAACAAAUAAUCAAAGCAAACAGUCCUAGUAUGGCUGGCUGAUACAAACAAACAAUUGCACAGAUGUGUGAGCAAAUCUUACAUAUCAAGAAAAGAAGCAUAGAAGGAGGCUUAAAGACCAUCACUUGACUGGCCAGAUUUAAGGGGCAUUUAAACAUCAUGUGCAAUGUAUGAACUAACAUAAACAUUGCAUAUUUCAGAUUCUAUAAUGAAAUGCACAUGUAUUAGGUUAUGCCAUGUAUGAUGAUGCCUAAAUGUACACUAUAGCAGGCGGGAGUGAUUCAUCAUUGCACACACAAUUGAAUUGUAGGUUAAGGGCGAGUUCUAUUAUGCCUUUUCAGAGGUUAUUGUAAAAAUAAGCCAUAAAAGAUGUAAAGAAGUAAUUUUUUAGUUAUGGACUUGGGCUUAACUUAUUUUGCUUUAGAGGGGGGUGUUUCGGGUAGAAGCUCACUAAAAAAUUGAAGGGAAGGGGAAUAGUGAAAUGACUCUGUUGUCUGCCUAUAUUACACUCAAAAUGCCAUUGCUCACGCCCGUGUCACACCUGACCCUCAAGUAAAAACAAACACGCAAGCAUUCAUUACCCUGCCCGCUUGCAUCUUCUCUCCCCUAUCCAUCUACCUCGAUCCCCUGCCUGCAGCGCUAGGGUUCCUCCAGCAAGCCGUUGCCACUGGUCCCAUCUGGACUAGUCCUCGAUGAUGCUCUGCCCAGCUAGGCUACAUGGCCGGCAGGUAGGGCCAAAUCUCCCCGGUUGCUCCUCCCUCUGGCGCUGCCCCUCAUUCUCAUGGUCUCCAGCAGCUGCUCCACUGUGGUGUGUCCAACGCACUACUCCGGCAGCGCCGCACAACUAUGACCGAUGCCACACUGCGGCAGAAGGCACCUCCUUCCCCUCCCCUCCUCCCAGGCUGUGGCCUUGAGGUGAUGUUGAAGAAUGAUCUCAUCCAACAAGGUGAGGAUAUCAUCUGAUUUUUUUGCCAAAUUUUCAUUCUGAUCCGCUAUACGAUGAAUUUCUAUGAGCUGCUUCUGCUGCUGCUAUAUGAUGCAUUGCUAUGAGCUCCUCCUCCUGCUGCUAUAUGAUGAAUUGCUAUGAGCUGCUGCUGCUAUAUGACGAAUUGUAUGAGCUGCUGCUGGUAUAUGAUGAAUUGCACGCUGCUGCUGCUGCUACUGUAUGAUGAGUUGCUAUGAGUUGCUGCUGCUGCUAUAUGAUGCUUUCAGGUGGUGCUGCUAUAUGAUAAUAACCAGCCACUUGGACAAUUGAAUUUCGAUAAAUAAUUGUUCUUAAGUUAAAUUUAGGUCAUGCAUUCUUCAUUUAAAUUAGGCAAUGGGAUCUCUAUGAAAGACAUUGACCAAAGUAGAUUGUGCCAAGUAGAUGGUAUCUUUGUAUUUGCAUUUUGAACAAAAUAUUUAUGGUAUGUUUUUUACCAUAUUAAUUACUGCACUGGGUUCAAUUUCUGUUGUUUGCAAGUCAAAUUAAUUUUCAUAUGGACAGUAAAAUGACAAAAUAUAAUGCAAUCUAGACUUUUCAAUGAUCAUACCACAGAUAAGCUGAAAAGGCAGGCAAUGAAAAGAACUAGUUGGCUUAUUACCUGGAGCUUAUAUUCAAAGGUGCUUAUUUUCUUAGAAUAACUCCAAAUAACUAUCCCUAAGAAACUUGGCCAAUAGAACUGACAUACAAAUAACAUGUCAUGAUGAUUGCAAUGGGAGAAUCCUACAAGAGAACUGGGCCAGUGUGACCUACCAUAGCACACUACAUAGGCUCACCGCUGCCCCUCCUUUUUUUGCGAUGUUCCAUGAAAUUGCCACAUACAUCUUGGACUUUUUCAUUGUGUAACCCUAUCUUCAAGUUCACGUCUAAUUUCAGACAUCUCUACAUGAUAAUAUAUUGCAUAUACCUUGCGCAUAUUUAAACCACCAAUAAACGAUUGUGUACAUAGCAUAAACUAGCCAUUGAUACGUCUCCGUCGUAUCUAUAAUUUUUUAUUGUUCCAUGCCAAUAUUCUUCAACUUUCAUAUACUUUUGGCAACUUUUUAUAUUAUUUUUGGGACUAACAUAUUGAUCCAGUGCCCAGUGCCAGUUCCUGUCUAUUGCAUGUUUUAUGUUUCACAGAAACCCCAUAUCAAACGGAGUCCAAACGGGAUAAAAACGGACGGAGAAUUUUUUUGGAAUAUUUGUGAUUAUUGGGAAAUAAAAUCAACACGAGACGGUGCCCGAGGUGGCCACGAGAUAGGGGCCCACGCCCACUCCAGGUAGGUGCGCCCCCACCCUCCUGGGCCCCUCGUAAGGCAGUUGAUGCCCUUCUUUGGCCGCAAGAAAGCUAAUUUUUGGAAAAAUAUCUGGGCGAAGGUUUCAAUCCAAUCGGAGUUACGGAUCUCCAGAAAUAAAAGAAACGGUGCCAGGGCAGAAUCCCAGAAUGCAGAAAUAGAGAGAGGCAGAGAGAUAGAUCCAAUCUCGGAGGGGCUCUCGCCCCUCCCACGCCAUGGGAGCCAAGGACCAGAGGGGAAACCCUUCUCCCAUCUAGGGAGAAGGUCAAGGAAGAAGAAGAAGAAGAAGGGGGGCUCUCUCCCCCUUGCUUCCGGUGGCGCCAGAACGCCGCCGGGGGCCAUUAUCAUCACCGCGAUCUUCACCAACACCUCCGCCAUCUUCACCAACAUCUCCAUCACCUUCCCCCGUCUAUCUAUAGCUGUCCACUCUCCCGCAACCCGAUGUACCCUCUACUUGAACAUGGUGCUUUAUGCUUCAUAUUAUUAUCCAAUGAUGUGUUGCCAUCCUAUGAUGUCUGAGUAGAUUUUCGUUCUCCUAUUGGUGGUUGAUGAAUUUCUAUGAUUGAUGUAAUUUUCUUGUGGUUAUGUUGCUGUCCUUUGGUGCCCAUCAUAUGAGCGCGCGCGUGGAUCACACCAUAGGGUUAGUUGUAUGUUGAUAGGACUAUGUAUUGGAGGGCAAGAGUGACAGAAGCUUCAACCUAGCAUAGAAAUUGAUGCAUACGAGAUUGAAGGGGGACCAAUAUAUCCUAAUGCUAUGGUUGGGUUUUACCUUAAUGAACGCUAGUAGUUGCGGAUGCUUUCUAAUAGUUCCAAUCAUAAGUGCAUAGAAUUCCAAGUCAGGGAUGACAUGCUAGCAGUGGCCUCUCCCACAUAAAACUUGCUAUAGGUCUAGUAAAGUAGUCAAUUGCUUAGGGACAAUUCCACAACUCCUACCACCACUUUUCCACACUCGUUAUAUUUACUUUAUUGCAUCUUUAUCUAAACAGCCCCUACUUUUUAUUUACGUGCUAUUUAUUAUCUUGCAAACCUAUCCAACAACACCUACAAAGUACUUCUAGUUUCAUACUUGUUCUAGGUAAAGCGAACGUCAAGCGUGCGUAGAGUCGUAUGAGUGGCCGAUAGGACUUGGGAGAGUAUUUGUUCUACCUUUAGCUCCUCGUUGGGUUCGACACUCUACUUAUCGAAAGAGGCUACAACUAUCCUGUAUACUUGCGGGUCAUCAAGACCUUUUUCUGGCGCCGUUGCCGAGGAGUCAUAGCAUGGGGUGAAUAUUCUUGUGUGUGCUUGUUUGCUUUAUCACUAAGUAAUUUUUAUUUGCUGUUCUUAGUUGUUCUCUAUCUUUAGUUAUGGAUAUGGAACACGAAAUACCAAAAAAUUAGGUGUACUUGCUACUCGUGGAGAUGGGGGACCUCCUAAAACCCUCGAUGCUCGUUAUGUUCAAGAUAUUAUGUACUACUUUGAUAAUCCUGAGAAAACCCCAUUCAAUUAUGUUAUGGGAGACACGUUGGAUCAACGUGAAUACUUUAGGGAUUAUCGCUUGAGACAAAAAGGGAAACUAUUGUGGGUUCAAAUUAAUAUGUUGCAUUGGUAUGCUCGGGAUCUAUGCUUGAGACAUGAUUAUAGUUGUUACUCUAGGAUGAAGGCUCCACACCUUCCCUUUCCAUGCGAAUUUAAUGAUGAUAAAACCUUAGCUUCUUAUGAUAAUGGUAUAUAUGAUUACUAUGAUGUGGAACAAAUAUAAGAAUUUGUUGCUUUUAUGGGUGCUUAUGAGAUUGAAUCUAUGUUUAAAACGUUUGAAGAUUUUGAUGAUUCAGUUUAUAGACCUGAAAUUUUUGCUAUACUUAGAUAUUGCUAUGAAAAUUAUGAAUACAAUUCCAAUAUUGAUGCAUUUAUUGAGAAAGUCUCCGCUGUCCAACAAGAGACUAAUAUUUUGCAGGAAGCUAUGGAAGAAGAAAUUGAUGAAACUAUGAGCUCAUUGGAUGAACAAAAUGAUGAGGAGAGCGAAGAACAAAAGGAGGAAGAGCGGAUUAGCUACCCGUGCCCACCUUCUAAUGAUAGUAACUCUUCAACUCAUACAUUGUUUAAUUCCCCUCCGUGCUUACCGAAGGAUGAUUGUUAUGAUGAUUGUUAUGAUCCCGUGGAUUCUCUUGAAAUAUCCCUUUUUGAUGAUGCUUGCUAUGCUUGUGGCCAAGAUGCCAAUAUGAAUUAUGCUUAUGGAGAUGAACUUGCUAUAGUUCCUUAUGUUAAACAUGAAAUUGUUGCUAUUGCACCCACGCUUGAUAGUUCUAUUAUAUUUUUAAAUUCUCCCAACUACACUAUAUCGGGGAAGUUUGUGCUUACUAAGGAUUAUAUUGAUGGGUUGCCUUUUACCAUUGCACAUGAUAAUUUUUAUGAAUGUAAUAUGCAUGUGCCUUCUGCUCCUACUUGCAAUUAUUAUGAGAGAGUAACUAUAUGUCCACCUCUGUAUGUUUCCAAUAUGAUAAAAUUGCAAGAAACUGUUUAUACUAUGCAUUGGCCUUUACUAUGUGUGCAUGAAUUGUUCUUUUAUGACAUGCCGAUGCAUAGGAAGAGAGUUACACUUCAUUGUUGCAUGAUAUAUGUUACUUUGUGCUCACUACUAAACUACAAAUCAUUGUUAAUUAAAAUUGUCUUUGAUAUACCUUGGGAUCCGGGUGGAUUCAUUACUUGAGCACUAUAUGCCUAGCUUAAUGGCUUUAAAGAAAGCGCUGCCAGGGGGACAACCCGGAAGUUUUAGAGAGUCAUUUAUUUCUGUUGAGUGCCUUCAUAUAGUUUAAAAACAAAAAAAUAAAGAGGGGAACCGAAAACUUUUCAAAAAGGAAAGUGAAAGUGAGAAAGACAAGCAUUAUUGAAGUGGGAGUUAGCCUUGGACUUUGUUCAUGCUCACGGAAACUUUGUGAAUCUUGAUUACAGAAACUUUUCAACAAAAAUAAUUACCCCCUUGUACAAUUCCAUUGUAUUGUAAUAAUAAUGUGCCAAGGUUUGCCUUUAGGAUGUUUACAAUGCUUGUUGGUUUGUACAGUGCAGGACAGAAACUUUGGCUGUAGUGUGUGGUUUUACAUUUUUUGCUGGAACAUAAAAUGGUUAUGAUUCUUUUUGAAAUGUCUUUAUGUACAAAUUAUUUAUUUUUCAUAAUUUUGGUAGAAUUUUUGGGGGUACAUAAGUAUGGUGAAUGUUCAGAUUGCUACAGAUUGUUCUGUUUUUGACAGAUUCUGUUUUUGAUGCAUAGUUUGCUUGUUUUGAUGAAUCUAUCAAUUUAUAUCAGUGGAUUAAGCCAUGAAAAAGUUAUAUUACAGUAGACACAAUGCAAAAAAAAUAUGAAUGGGUUUUCUACCGUACCUAGAGUAGUUAUUUGCUUUAUUAUACGAACGGAUCUUACCGAGUUUUCUGUUGAAGUUUUGUGUGGAUGAAGUGUUUGAUCGAGAAGGUCUCGAUAUGAGGAAAAGGAAGAGAGGCAAGAUAUCAAGCUUAGGGAUGCCCGAGGCACCCCAAGUAAAUAUUCAAGGAGACUCAAUCGUCUAAGCUUGGGGAUGCCCCGGAAGGCAUCCCCUCUUUCUUCAACAAGUAUUGGUAUGUUUUCGUAUUCGUUUUGUUCAUGCGAUAUGUGCAAGUCUUGGAGCGUCUUUUGCAUUUACUUUUAAUUUUUCUUUUAUUCACCAUGCUGGUAUGAGGUAGUCCUUGGUUGAUUUAUAGAAUGCUCAUUGCACCUCACUUAAAUCUUUUGAGUAUGGCUUUACAGAAUGCUUCAUGUGCUUCACGUAUAUCGUUUGAAGUUUGGAUUGCCUGUUUCUCUUCACAUGGAAAACCCCCAUUUGUAGAAUGCUCUUUUGCUUCACUUAUAUUUGUUAGAGCGUGGGCAUUUCUUUUAUAGAAAUAAUUAAACUCUCUUACUUCACUUAUAUCUAUUUAGAGAGAUGACAGGAAUUGGUCAUUCACAUGGUUAGUCAUAAAAUCCUACAUAAAACUUGUAGAUCGCUGAAUAUGAUAUGUUUGAUUCCUUGCAAUAGUUUUGCGAUAUAAAGGUGGUGAUAUUACAGUCGUGCUAGUUGAGUAAUUUUGAAAUUGAUAAAUACUUGUGUUGAGGUUUGGAAGUCCCGUAGCAUGCACGUAUGGUGAACCGUUAUGUAACGAAGUUGGAGCAUGAGGUGUUCUUUGAUUGCUUUCCUUAUGAGUGGAGGUCGGGAUCGCGCGAUGGUUAACUCCUACCAACCCUUCCCCUAGGAGCAUGCGUACUAGUACUUUGCUUUGAGGGCAAGUAGACUUUUACAAUAAGUAUAUGAGUUCUUUAUGACUAAUGUGAGUCCAUGGAUAUACGCACACUCACCCUUCCACUUUGCUAGCCUCUAUUGUGCCGCGCAACUUUCGCCGGUAUCAUGAACCCAUUAUUUACCUUCCUCAAAACAGCCACCAUACCUACCUAUUAUGGCAUUUCCAUAGCCAUUCCGAGAUAUAUUGCCAUGCAACUUUCCACCAUUCCGUUAUUAUGACACGCUCCAUCAUUGUCAUAUUGCUCUUUGCAUGAUCAUGUAGUUGAUAUUGUAUUUGUGGCAAGGCCACCCUCAUAAUUUUCAUACAUGUCACUCUUGAUUCAUUGCAUAUCCCGGUAUACCGCCGGAGGCAUUCAUAUAGAGUCAUAUUUUGUUCUAAGUGUUGAGUUGUAAUUCUCGAGUUGUAAAUCAAUAAAAGUGUGAUGAUCAUCAUUAUUAGAGCAUUGCCCCAGUGAGGAAAGGAUGAUGGAGACUAUGAUUCCCCCACAAGUCGGGAUUAGUCUCCGGACUUUAUGAAAAAUAAAAGAGGCCAAAGAAGCCCAAAUAAAAAAAUAGGACAAAGAAGCCCAAUCCAAAAAAUAAAAAUAAAAAUGGAAAUAAAAAAAGAAAAUAAAAAAUGAGAGAAAAAGAGAGAAGGGGCAAUGUUACUAUCCUUUUACCACACUUGUGCUUCAGAGUAGCACCAUGUUCUUCAUAUAGAAAGUCUCCUAUAUUGUCACUUUCAUAUACUAGUGGGAAUUUUUCAUUAUAGAACUUGGCUUGUAUAUUCCAAUGAUGGGCUUCCUCAAAAUGCCCUAGGUCUUCGUGAGCAAGCAAGUUGGUUGCACACCCACUUAGUUUCUUAUGUUGAGCUUUCAUAUAUUUAUAGCUCUAGUGCAUCCGUUGCAUGGCAAUCCCUACUCACUCACAUUGAUAUCUAUUGAUGGGCAUAUCCAUAGCCCGUUGAUACGCUUAGUUGACGUGAGACUAUCUUCUCCCUUUUUGUCCUCACAACCACCACCAUAUACCACCAUAGUGCUAUGUCCAUGGCUUGCGCUCAUGUAUUGCGUAAGAGUUGAAAAAGCUGAAGCGCGUUAAAAAGUAUGAACCAAUUGCUUGGCUGAAACCGGGGUUGUGCAUGAUGGGAGUAUUUUGUGUAAUGAAAAUGGAGCAUAGCCGGACUAUAUGAUUUUGUAGGGAUGAGCUAUCUUUGGCUAUGUUAUUUCGAUAAGACAUAAUUGCUUGGUUGGUAUGCUUGAAGUAUUAUUGUUUUUAUGUCAAAUGAUAGACCAUUGCCUUGAAUCACUCGUGUCUUAAUAUUCAUGCCAUGAUUAGACAUAUGAUCAAGAUUUUGCUAGGUAGCAUUCCACAUCAAAAACUAUCUUUUUUAUCAUUUACCUACUCAAGGACGAGCAGGAAUUAAGCUUGGGGAUGCUGAUACGUCUCCAUCGUAUCUAUAAUUUUUGAUUGUUCCAUGCCAAUAUUCUUCAACUUUCAUAUACUUUUGGCAACUUUUUAUAUUAUUUUCGGGACUAACAUAUUGAUCCAGUGCCUAGUUCCAGUUCCUAUCUGUUGCAUGUUUUAUGUUUCGCAGAAACCCCAUAUCAAACGGAGUCCAAACGGGAUAAAAACGGACGGAGAAUUAUUUUGGAAUAUUUGUGAUUUUUGGGAAGUAAAAUCAACGCGAAACGGUGCCCGAGGUGGCCAUGAGAUAGGGGCCCACACCCACUCCAGGUGGGCGCGCCCCCCACCCUCCUGGGCCCCUCAUAAGGCGGUUGAUGCCCUUCUUUGGGCACAAGAAAGCUAAUUUUUGGAAAAAGAUCUGGGCGAAGGUUUCAAUCCAAUCGGAGUUAUGGAUCUCCGGAUAUAAAAGAAACGGUGCCAGGGCAGAAUACUAGAACGCAGAAACAGAGAGAGGCAGAGAGAUAGAUCCAAUCUCGGAGGGGCUCUCACCCCUCCCACACCAUGGGAUCCAAGGACCAGAGGGGAAACCCUUCUCCCAUCUAGGGAGAAGGUCAAGGAAGAAGAAGGGGGGGUGGGUUCUCUCCCCCUUGCUUCCGGUGGCGCCGGAACGCCGCUGGGGGCCAUCAUCAUCACUGCGAUCUUAACCAACACCUCCGCCAUCUUCACCAACAUCUCCAUCACCUUCCCCCCUCUAUCUACAGCGGUCCACUCUCCCGCAACCCGAUGUACCCUCUACUUGAACAUUGUGCUUUAUGCUUCAUAUUAUUAUCCAAUGAUGUGUUGCCAUCCUAUGAUGUCUGAGUAGAUUUUCGUUGUCCUAUUGGUGGUUGAUGAGUUGCUAUGAUUGAUUUAAUUUUCUUGUGAUUAUGUUACUGUCCUUUGGUGCCCAUCAUAUGAGUGCGCGCGUGGAUCACACCAUAGGGUUAGUUGUAUGUUGAUAGGACUAUGUAUUGGAGGGCAAGAGUGACAGAAGCUUCAACCUAGCAUAGAAAUUGAUGCAUACAGGAUUGAAAGGGGACCAAUAUAUCUUAAUGCUAUGGUUGGGUUUUACCUUAAUGAACGUUAGUAGUUGUGGAUGCUUGCUAAUAGUUCCAAUCAUAAGUGCAUAUAAUUCCAAGUCAGGGAUGACAUGCUAGCAGUGGCCUCUCCCACAUAAAACUUGCUAUCGGUCUAGUAAAAUAGUCAAUUGCUUAGGGAAAAUUCCGCAACUCCUACCACCACUUUUACACACUCGCUAUAUUUACUUUAUUCCAUCUUUAUCUAAACAGCCCCUACUUUUUAUUUAUGUGAUCUUUAUUAUCUUGCAAACCUAUCCAACAACACCUACAAAGUACUUCUAGUUUCAUGCUUGUUCUAGGUAAAGCGAACGUCAAGCGUGCAUAGAGUCGUAUUAGUGGCCGAUAGGACUUGAGAGAGUAUUUUUUCUACCUUUAGCUCCUCGUUGGGUUCGACACUCAUCGAAAGAGGCUACAACUAUCCCGUAUACUUGCGGGUCAUCAACCAUGACUCUGUGUGGUGGACUAGCAGGCACUCUAAGGGAGCCUAAUGUAGUGCACUGGAAUUCCUACAUGCCACCUAUGAUUUUGUGUAAUGUACUACCUUUGUUCCAGCGGGUAUCAUGUAUGACAUCUACAUAUCUAAUUUAGCAGCCAGUAGUAGAAAUCAUUGUCUGUGCAAAGGGAUUACUGAUCGAAAAUCCUAGCAAAGCAUGCUGAUAGGCACACAACAAUACAAGAGAGAGAGAUGCACUUACAAUAUCAUAGUAAUGCCCCAGUCUAGGAUCUUGGUUGGCCAAGUUGUUAGAACCAGACUAAACAUCAUCCUUGUAGUUUUUGCCAGCUGCAUAACAUGUAACAGAGACCUAUUAGUAUAUUUGAAGUACAUCUGGCUGGUGAUGCUGGAUGGGUUUAAAGCUGACAAGUACCUAGGCCGUGGCGGCUGCUUGGCAUCUUGCCAGACAUUGGGAAUCAGGUUAGAAAUAUAAGGGUGAUGAUGCUGUGCUGGCUAUCGGGGUCCGGUAAGGAGAUCUAGAACUGUCAAGCAGGGUGUUUGUGGAGCAGCUUCGGUAGGGUGGACUACAGUGUGGGUGAAUCGAAUCUGAGGCCGUGGACGAGGGGGUCGGUGAAGAUGUUCCAGUGGUUGGGUUCAGGAUGGUGUCGACGAUGCGGAUCUGCGGCCGUGGACGGGGCGUCAGAAGCUGCUCCGGUAGGUUGGACGAUGGUGUGACGAAGCGGAUCUGAGUCUGGGGACUUGUGCGUUGGCAAAGCAGCCCCGGUAGGGUUGAGAAUGGUAUAGGCAAAGCUACUCUGGUAGGGUUGAUGAUGGUGUUGGCGAAGCAGCUCCGGUAGGGUUGAUGAUGGGGUCGGCGAAGUGGCUCCGGUAGGGUUGAGGAAGGUGUCGGCAAAGAGGAUCAGAGGCCAUCGACGGGGGCGUCGGUGGGGCGGCUCCGGGGGGUGUGGAUGAAGCGUCUCCGGUGGGGAGUACGAAGGAGCCGCUGCAGAUGCGCCGCGGUUGGCGAGAGUACCGGCGAAGCAGAUCCGACACCAUGGACAAGGACGGCACUGAAUGGACUGUGGUAUAGUGGUGGAUGAGCAGUCUACUUGUUUCUAGGGGAGGUGGGAGGGGUAGAUGCGGCUGCAGAAGCAGAUCCAGCGAGGUGGACACCGCUGGAAGUGGAUGGGCUCUGGUACACCGGUGGAUGAGCAGUCUAGGGUUUCUAGAGGGGAGGGGUAGAAAGGCCAAUGAAGUAUGGACGGUGUGAUGUAAGAUGCUCUGGUGCUGUGGAGUUAGUGUUUUUUGUUGGAGGGGGAGAGGAAAUGGGGUGCCGUGUGGUGGGGGGAACCGGAAGUUACCAAAGCAGCCCCGACCUAUUAUGUAAAUGAGUGUCGUAUUGUAACUGUUGUUCUCCGUGCACCAAGGACAAAAGGGAAAUUUCGCAUGCUAAAGACUAGGCGGCGAAAAUUUUAGAAGGAGGUGGGAGAUUUUGCCACCCGCGGGAUCGUUCGUAUCCAGUUUCAACUAAUUUUGGAUAGUGCUAGCGGGAAGGUCAUGCGAUACUGUGUACACGAGGCACACAUCAGCAGUUAAUAACUGGUGUGAAGUCCACCCCAUAAGAAAAGACAAUAACUCGGGAUGAUGCAUCGAUAACUUGGACGUUCACACGGGCGCAACCAAUCGUAUGGGUGUAGAGGCACGUUCACAAAAAAGGGAUCAAACGCUCAGCCUAUGUAUUUCUCGUGUAAAUGUACAACUUAGUGCCAUUGGUUAUUUACUUUAAACAUAAUGCAUUGACGUGUUAUUGUAGAGGCGCACAAAAAGAAAUGGAUAUUGUAGUCACACAAAAGAAAUGGAUAUUGUAGGCCGCUACUUAAAAGUGUUACCUCAUAUGAUUACAUAGCCUACAUUUCAUAAAUUGCGUACCCGUUGAAUUCAUAUAUGAAUAUUACAUAUAUUACUUCACAAUAGAACCUUAUAUCAUCCAAGACUAAUGAAUUUGAAUGCAAGACUAACAAUGGUGCAUGUACAUGAUAGCUACAUUGGUUGUUUGAAGAAACACCAGUGUAACUUUCGCAUGCACAAUUGAAAAGGAUUAUUUAGAAAAAAUGUGAUAUGUGAGUGUCCAAUCUUUAUAGCGUUUAAUCGAUAUCGUAUCUUUGGCCACUAUAUGAAGUAGAUAUUGAUUUAUGUUAAAGCGAUGCACGUCCACGAUCGCUAGAUAGUGAUUGUGAAUGAAUUGUGCAAUCUCUCUCACACACAUACAUAUCUCAUUUCUCUGUGGGCAUUAGAAUCACACACGCGCACUUCGUGCAUUUCUCUCCCUCUGUAAAGGUUAGAAUUUGUCUUUCUACCCCGUGCUACAAGUCUCUCAGACAGAAACACACACGCUCUCUCCCUCGAACACGCCCACCCCUUUAAUUCGCCCACCCACCACCACUAAUGUCUCAAAGUAUAAUUAUGUCUCGCACACAUAUGCCUAUGGUUGACUCGAGCUAGAUCCCAUUGUAGGUAUUCAUAUGGUUUCGGGACUCAAAAGACGACGAGGUUAUUAUUGACUUGAAGGCCAAAACUUUCGUCGUCUUUUGAGUCCCGGAACCAUAUGAAUACAUGCAAUGGGAUCCAGCAGAGCACCUUUUGUUUUGAGAUUUCACUCUCUCUCUCUCUCUCACACACACACACACACACACGUGUAGACAUUGUUUCUCUCUUCAAAUUUUUUUGGCACUUGCAUGCACAUCGCUUGUUUAUCUUUGUGAUGCUUUAAGUAUGCCUCACACACAUGCUAUCUACCUAUCACUUAAUAUAGGUAUGUGUCACACAAAUUCCUUCUCCCUAUAUCUAAGUGUUACUGCCCCCACCCCCCCACACACACUUCCCGACACCGAAGGAGUAGGGUGACACCACGAUCUUGAUACUAAUCUAUCUACUAGAUUCUCUCUCAAACACACACACCCACGCGCGCACUACCCGACACCGAAGGAGUAGGGUGGCACCUCGAUCUUGAUAGUAAUCUAUCUACUCGCUUCUCUCUCAAACACACACACACCCCCGCUAGGUGUGCCUCUGUGCCUAUCGCGCGCACACUCUCGAUACUGUUUCUCUACCCCCCUCCCCCCCAACAAUGGCAGCAGAAGGGCGACAACUCGAUCUUGAUCUUAAUCUAUCAAUUGGUCUCUCUCUCAAGCACACACACACACACUAGUUGUGUCUAUGUGCCUCUCUCACACACAAUCGACACGUCUUUCUCUCUGUAGCCCCCUCGAUAUGUAGACUUCUCGCGCGUGCACAGUUGUAGUGACGAUGACUCUGAACCCAAUGUGCCUUGUUUUUACUGGCCUCAUGUGAUAGUUUUCACCCUAUUUUCUAUUAAUUAACAAGGCAAACUUUUCUUUGUUGCUACUAGUGAAUCUGAGAUCAUUUGGGGCAGACAUACAAUAUAUCACUUCAACUCAAUUAUCGCAUUAACUAUUUUAAAAGAAACUAGCUAGAUGCCCGUGCAUUGCACGAAACAUCAAGAUGCAUUUGUAUGAGUAGUUUAUCUUGUGAGAGAAACAGAUGAACGAGGGAAAGCCUUAUUUGAAAAUGUGGAGAGGGGUGUGUGUAUCUCUUUGCAAAAUUGCCAUAGUUUCCUCCUAUCCGUUAGAUAUAAAUCCGACGGCCUAUAUUGCAGGAUGACAGGCACACCAUCAUCACUAACUCUGUUUUUCUACUCCCUCUGUUCCUAAAUAUUUGUCUUUUUAGACAUUUCAACAAGUGACUACAUAUAGAGCAAAAUGAGUGAAUCUACACUCUAAACUAUGUCUAUAUACAGAUCCGUAUGUGGUAGUCCAUUCAAAUCUGAAAAAGAAAAAUAUUAAGGAACAUAGGGAGUAUAGGAGUAGACAUAGAGAUAUAUCUCCAGCAUCAUCCACAACGAACAUGUGUUGGGCUGGUUAGUGCCGGAUGCUCGCAACGCGAUGACCUAGUUUGAAUUAUGUCUUUAACUUUAGAUUUUUGUAUUACUAGCAAGAUGCCCAUGCGUUGCACGGAACAUCAAGAUGCAUUUGUAUGAGUAGUUUAUCUUGUGGGAGAAAAGGAUGAACGAGGGAAGGCCUUAUUUGCAAAUGUGGAGAGGGGUGUGGGUGUCUUUUUGCAAAAUUGCCAUAGUUUCCUUCCUAUCUGUCAGAUAUAAAUUGGACGGCCUAUAUUGCACGAUGGCAGGCACACCAUCAUCACCAAAUCUGUUUUUAUAAGAGUAUAGAUAUAGAUAUAGAUACAGAGAGAGAAGUACAGAGUAGAGAUAUACUAUUAUUUAAUAUAUACUUCUUUCACUACUGUACUGACAGUGGAACCCACAGAGUACUUAGAAUACAAGAUUAAGGAUGGAUUUGUUUCUUUUUAACUUUCUCUAUGAUAGUGUAGCCACCCUGCAAGUCAUGUACACUAUACAUGCAAUUAACUUUUUAUAGAGGGAGAAUCAUACACGCAAUUAACUCAAAUGGAUUGGAUGUGACUCUAUUAUUUCCAGCAUAGGAGCAUCUCCAACAGCAGCCAGCAAAUUUCCUCCCGCUUCCUUCCGCGGAGGACGACAUCCAAUGCUAGUAGCAUACAUUUUCACAACUCUAACCAACCAGAGGAAAUUCGUGCAAACGCAGACUGAUUUCAUAUAAGCAUGAAGGAUUUCGUAUAAAAGAGUCGGAUCUUCAUAUAAACAUGAUGGAUUUCAUUACAUUUACAUGAACUAAGUGGUACUAAUCCGGCUCUCGUGGUAUAAUUAAUACCUGAUCAAAAUGGCCGCCCGCGGAUCCCUUUGUCUUCCUCGUGUUCGGCAGACACUUGCGGGGUCGACGAAGGUCCUAGGAAGGGAUGAAGCAGCAAAGAAACCACAUGUAUACACAUUCAUCGCCUAAGCGGUGGCCUUCAUGGGACCCAAAUGGCGGCGGCCUCCCGUGUUCUACUUCUCCUCGAUGAUGGCAGCGGACACGGAGAACCUCGCAACCGACUCAUCGCUCUCCAUGCACCUAGCUUCUGUCUCUGCCUACAUGGCGCUGCCGCAGGCACAAGAGGCGUGCCCACAAACACGGGAGGCCUGUCCACCGCAGACACUGGUGGCGCCGUACGACAUGGCAGCGAUGACACCCAUGCCAUUGUGCUCGCCGCCGUGCCGGCUUGGAGCAACUCGCCACUCCUCAUCAAGUUGAACUUGAGCGAGGAGUUGCUGAACCACGUGCCGGCUUGGGGCGGCAACUGGCUCCGUUGGUCCAAGUCAGGUUGGUGAAGCACCGAGCGGCCUCGCUCGUAUCCGGAGGGCUCGGUGGGCUACCCAGCCAGGUAGUAUGCCGGAGAACGGCUCCUCGGAAGCCAUCAGAAGAGUGGAGAAAAUGGUGAAGGAAGAGGUGGGGGAGAGGUGAGGGGUGUGAUUCUUGCCUGAUGUCUGUCUGGCCUCGUUUAAAUAGAGGGUAGAUGGUAGGAGCUUGGCCGGUGUCUGGCCUCGUUUAAACUGAGGGCGGAUGGGAGGAGCUUGGCCGGUGUUCCAUUUAAUUCUGGCCAGCUCAUGAACAGAUGUGUGGCCAGAGUAGGUUUCUCGGUUUGCAUGCAGGUUUAAUGGGGGUGUUUGAUGGAGGCGAGGAGGCGUGUUCAGCCGGGUGUGCAGCAGGCAGCACAGUACUAUUCAAUUUGACAGCGGGCAGUGCAGUUCCCUAUACGACUUUAAUGCAGACGAGGGAGAGGGAAGCGGUUCCCGAAAUAUUGAACGGAUAAUGGUGCAUCCUUUGUCAAUUAGCAUCGUGAAUGCAUGAGGAAAGUAACGGGAGGAGGACCGGGAAAAGAGGCAGCACGAUGUGAAUGCAACACAAUUUGCACUCUUUAAAGGCGCCCCUCUGUUCUAAUGCAUCUACCACAUCGUACGCACCUAAAGCACCUACACUAAGUGCAAAAUUGCUCACUCAAGACCCAUGGAGGCGAUACGCGCGAGCGGCCAACUGCUGUCCCAGAUGGUCCACAACGCUGGCCUACGUCAUGGCACCGAGGAUUGUCUCCAUACGGUGUUGGCGACCAGCUGGUGGAUGGCCAGCAUCGACGCCAGCUACGACUCUCAGUUGGACCAGAUGAUCAUUGCCACCAUCAACAAGUUCACCGUCGUCAAGAAGCUCGCAGACGACAUCGUCAUACUCCUCCAGCCCACGCGCCCGGGCUCCUCAUUGCCUGCCACCCUUAUCGACCUCCAUGGCCGGAACCUCUUUCAAGCAUUGGUGGCCCUGCGACUGCCCGCCGACGCAACAAAGAAUGUCCACAUGGAGGUCGCGCUCGCCGCGAGGUGCCUCACCCUUCAAGAAUUCGUCGACCUAGACAUCCACAAGUACGAGGAAGUCGUGUACAUAGGUAUCUACAAGGCUGGUGAGGACACUACAAUGUUGGCCAUCCUCAACCGGCUGGAAGCAUUGGGCGCCUUUGCUGAGAAGCACUUUAACCUCGCCACAAAAGUCGCGGCUGCUAAGCCACCGGUCGGUGGCCCGGUGCACUGAGUCAAGGAGGAGGAGGUCGUACGUUGAUGGAUGCAUCUUCUUCUUGCCUCCUGUAAGCACCAAUGUGAUUGCAUCAUCAUGGCCUUAAUUCUUAUUGUGCUAUUGCAUUCUCGUUCCAGCCAAUACAAACAUGUGCGAUCCCUUUCCCACAUUUGGAGGCAAUUAUAUGUGUCACUGUAACUAGUACUCCAUCCGUCAAUUUAUAAGUUGUGCUUACCUUUUCCAUCAACUUCGUGCAACGCACGAGCAUCUUGCUAGAAACACUACAACAUGUUGAACCGUGUGUGACCAAACCGAUGAUGCACCAACUUAGCUACUACCCUGCUUAUCUGGCGGAAAAAGCCCCGCCCUAGUGUUUCCAAUCGUUAUUUCUAUCUAUCGAUCGUGCCAAGGAGCAGAACCAAAUGGUACAAUUUAUACAUGUUUCUCUACUCCUAUAAAAGAGUGUUUUGUUUCAAGUUUGUGAACAAGUACUAUUCUACUUUUGAUCCGUCGCAAUGCACGAGCACAUUGCUAGUAAAAGAAAAAGGUCUGCCACGUUCGGGCGUUUGCGUCACACCCCCACAUGCCUGGAACCAGGAGUACUCCAUGGCCCGUCUGGCAUGCCACAUAGCUAGGGAAGGCAUGUUUCCUAGCAUUUUCACUUUCAUGUGGGACCAUAGUUGAGCAAACCGACUAUCGGCAAACUGGACCACGACAAACUGCACCUUGCCGCCGCGUUGGAAAACAACAAUGAGGGGAAGAUCUAGCUAUGUCAUGGAAGCCAAGAAAUUUGGUGUCAGAUGGGGCUCGUUGAUAGAGUAGGAGCACUCCUUCCCCACAAAAAAGAGAGUAGGAGCACUCCGUAGUAGUACUCCUACUAGUACGAAGUUUGUACUACAACUAGUACUACCAUUAUACAACUAGGUACGUGCACAACACAACAUCGUAGGAACAAAAAAUGGGAAGAUCUUGUUUAGGGUGAUUUAUGUUUUUUUAGUCAACAUAGUAUAAAUAAUAUGAUGUGGGGGCACCCAUGAGGCUUAUGUGGCUUGGUUGCAUGGCUAGGAAAGGCUAGAGAAAAAUAAAUAGAUAAUGUGUUUAGAGUGCACUCCACUAAAUAGAUACUAUGGAUCCAUUGCAACGCAUGGGCCGGCAUAUUGGUAGUAGUAAGAGACAAAUUCCGGGUUUGGCACGAGUUCGUAUUGUGGGAGCACCACAAGGCCUAGUGCAGGAGUGAUAUUUCCCCCUCUCGGGGCCCAUGGGACCGAGCUUCAGUGGCUUAGUGCACCGGCCUAUGAGUCAAUGACAUGUUGACCUUAAAUGCGGCUGGCCCACAUGUCAUUCUCAUGAAAGCUGAGCGGUGGUGGGACCGAGAGGGGUGAGGCGCAGGUCGGUGGACGAGGCUUGCCUGCUCCCCUCCCAUGCUCCAGUCUGUACUCCCGCACCACUAAUUUUCAUCCAACAGUUGUACUAAUAGAUUUCCUCGUGUGGGUCAUCUAUAGCCUCAAAGAAAGAUAAAUAAAGGCCGUAUUUCUAGGAAAUAAUUUCCUGCAUUAAUCUGUACACGCAUGCAAGACCCUUUCCUUUCCUGCUCAUCCUCCUCCGGAUCAUCAUCUGUGUUGACAAUGGCAGUGCCAAUGCCAGAGCGUGGCAACAGGUGCCUGCCCAAGCCAUGUAGCAUGAUGUGGCGCUAGCAAGUACCACCUCCUCCACACCAACAUCGGCGUCUGGGCCAUGCACAUGCAGUUGCUCCCGUAGUAUUUUACCCGCAUGUUCGACUGCAGUACCACACUGAUCUUGGAGGAUACCAUGGAGCUUGUGGCCAAGAAAAGCCUCUGCCCGGCCAACGCAUGUCAACGUGCUUGAUUGUGACAUGCCGCACAAUGUUUACUAGCUUGUGCUCCGGAUGAGCGACAGAGUGCUGCUCCCGAUCGUUAGUGCAGCGACGGCAAUGAUGGCCGGGUGGGAGCUCGAAUGGGAGCCAGUGAUCUACCCGGGGCACAUAGCUUCGACUUGGGCUCGAGAUUCCAACCGCUUGCACCGUCCUAAGGAUGUACCACUCAGCGACGAGGCUGGAAUGCUGGAUAUGUAUAGGCGUGUGCUCGUGGGUGGGAGGAACCUCCUCAAUUGAUACCGGUUUGCGAACGUGAUGUACUCUACAUAGCCCAAGCCUAGAGGCACUCCUGCCGUCGUAUGUUGACGUGCGGCUCAAAGACAUGCGGCCACGUGCCAGCAUAGGUCGGCUAUCGGGAAACGGCAUCGCUGUGGUUUCGAGAUGCCCAGGUGGCCGUUGUCGUGGCGGCGUUCGCGACUCACACUAUCGAGUUGCACUGGCCGGUGGUGGCCUGGCCGUGGUGAGGGUGCCAAAGCUGGACGUCAGGGUGUUAUGAGGCGUAGAAGUCCAUGGAAGGAAACCAUGGAAAUUUUGCAAAAAUAUACCCACACCCCUCUCCACAUUUUCAAAUAAGGCCUUCCCUCGUUCAUCAUUUUCUCCAACAAGAUGAACUACUCACACAAAUGCAUCUUGAUGUUCCGUGCAACGCACGGGCAUUUUGCUAUUAAGAAACAAAUCUCGAGUUUGGCACGAGUUCGUGCAGCGGUAGCACCACAAGGCCUGGCGCAGGAGUUACAUUUCCCUCUCGGGGCCCACAGGACCGAGCUUCAGUGGACCCGAUAGGUGGCUGCUCCAAAUGUCAUGCUCUCGAAGGAAGAGAGGCGAUGGGGUCGAGAGGGAUGAGCCAUAGGUCAGGGGACAUGUGGUGUGGUAUCAUGGGUUUGAGCGGCGUCGUGGGAAUCGCGUGUGGCUGUGGAACCUUGAUGCUCGCCGCAUUUCAGCUGGCCCACAUGUCAUGCACACAAAGGCAGAGGGGUGGUGCGUCCGAGAGGGGUGAGGCGCACGUCGGGGGACGUGGUGCGUGCCGUGGGCUGGAGCAGCGAUGUUGGAAUCACGAGUGGUAGUGUAUGAAACAUGAUAGUCGUCGUAGUUCAACUUCCAUGGACAAGCUGACAUGUCUACUGACACAUGCAUUACAUACCGAUCACUGGAAGGUGUAGUAGAGAAAGCUAGGCGGACAAAAAAUUCAUUAUAGUCAAGCGGACCUAUGUUGCUACUCUACUUGUUCCAAAGACAUGCACACAAUCGAAAUAGUUCAUAUAUAUCAAUAUACACAAAGAGGAAAUAUUUUUUUACAAGAGAGGAAAUAGUUCAUCCAUCCAUAAUGCCCUGCUGCUAGUGCAGCUUCUUCUUCUUCUUAUUCUUCUUCUUCUUCUCAUUUUUUGUGGGAGACGGCUUCGCAACAAGCUCUUUGGACCUUGGAGAUAUUUCGAAACUCACACGGCCAUCGACGGCAGCAUAUUUUAUCCACUCAUACGUCAAGGGAUAAUUCUCCCAUCCAGACGACCUUAAUGCCGGCGUCUCGUCACCCUUCUGAAGAUUUGUACCGAGCACAAAAUUUGCUAUGUCAAAUAGGGAUGGUAUCUAUUUAUCACAAUCUUCUACAGGAAUUUUGAUUCUGGUUUGUAGGUCAGUGAUGCUUUUCAAAUCAAGGUUGUAUGGCACCAGCUUCUAUUUGUCCCCUUCGAUGGCUGCCCCACAGAAGUAUAUAUCCUCCCGAGACAAGAAAUCAUGGAGCUCACCUGGUAUGGAGGGCGCGUGUAUGAUGUGGUACACCAACACAUCAUCUUCGAGGCACAGCUGAAGGACGGCGGCGCGUUGGAUCUUCCCAGUGGAACGCUUCGUGUACUCUGCGUCGAGACAGAUGACCUUCAUCUCUACCUUUUCGAGGGAGUUGGAUACAUUGUUGAUCCACUUCCGAACAACCCUUGGAUGGUCGGUGACGGUGGCAACUAUGCUCAACGAGCCUUCGACGAGGACAUGUUGGAUGCUAAAAACCUGCAUCUGGAUCUCUUUCGCCAUUUGGAACCGCUGGACCGAAGGGCUAUGGUUUGGAGAAUUAGGAUUAGAUGGCUAGUCUAACUGAAGAAGAUGAUUAUUUAAAGGUGCUUCAGAAUUACUCCAGGAGUAUGUGAAGAGGUUAAAACAAUGUGAGUGCAUUGGGGUUUGGAUGCAAAUGAAGACGAAGGAGAGGUGAAGAAGCCGAGGAAAAUCGGUUCCCGAUGGAGAAGUAAAUGGGAGAAGUGGCGUGUAGGCAGUUGAUUAGACGGCUAGGUAGACUAAACAAAAAGGCAAUGUGGGUAGACUGAGGAGUCAUACCUGUUCGUGUAAGUGCCCAUCCUUCUAGCGCUACAUGUGCCACUGGCUAGUUGAGGUCACUCUUUUGAAUCACCGUGAUGAGACAUUUUAUGAUUCCUUUUUUAUUUCUGCACCUUUCCUGAUAGGUGGGACCUAUGCAAACAGAUUAAAAAAUGUGUCAUAGCUGGUUCAACUAGAUAUUGGCGCGUGCAUGUGAGACACAACAUUCUUUGGUUAAGGAAUACGCAGUUAUCCUCAAAAAAGAAAAGGCCGUUCUUUGCGCUUUCGCAUGCACGAGAAUUUUGUUCUGCUCGCAAUAUGGAUGAUACCUGGAGGAUGAAGUGAACGCAGAGGCAUGCUAGCACGGGAGACCUAUUUCCGCUAUCUAGUACUGGAGUACUCAUGUUCCUACUACUACUAAAACUACUACUAGUACAACUGUGGUACACUUGAUGGUCAAAAUACUAUUCGUCUGGUCCUCAUAGUGAAGUGGCAAUACACUACACCUGACACUAGUCCAGGCGGCGUGUUCGGAUUACCAAAGUCAGCCUCACCUUGUGCACUGUGCAGUCCGUCACCGCCAAUGUAUAGCACAUUAGCAUGCAUCCCUCGUCUCCCUCUCCCCACUACAAAAAAAUACACUUCCGUGAUGAUACGUGUUUGUCACAGUAGGUCGCGUUUUUUGUCAUGCAUGUACAUCCAUGACGAUUUUAUGACAGAAUCAAGAUAGUCAUACCUGUGCUGUCGUAGAAGUGUUCCAUGAAAUUACCAAAAUUAUCAUCACGGAAGGGUCCACUUCCAUGACGAUAAAUCACGCGUCACAGAAGUGCUUUCGCCAAGGGUGACUGACAUGUGGCAUCCACCAUAACGUAACACCAUUAAGCUAUCGGGUCCCGUUUUGGAUCUGAUAACCCGUUAACAGCCCGGACCAAUGGGGAUUUUGCACGUGUAAAAUCAUCAUUGGCUGGAGGAAACACGUAUCGGCUCAUCGUUGGGACAGAUGUCAUCCACUCAUUGGACAGAAGGCGCCUAUGAUACGUCGACACGUGGCACGGCCCAACAGAGGCCCAUUCAUGUUAAAAGGCCGGCCCUUUUGACUUGGUCAAAAGGUGGUGGGCCGGACCAUGGAAAGCCUGUUAACGGCCUAUUCGCAUAUAGCCCAUUUAUAGCCCACUAACCCAAGGCCCGUUACGUCCUAUCCAAAUUAGGUCCAGUAGUGUCAUCUGGGCCAUCCAAUAUGAUUCCAGCCUGUUUUCACUUUUGGCCCAUGUAUGGCCCAUGACGUGUUUCGGCCCAUAUGAGGCCCUUUAUAACUCUUGGCCCAUUAACAGCCCGUGGUGAAACUGGCCCGUAAUGAACUGUGUAUCACUUUACACCCAUUAACGACCUGUGGUGAAACUGGCCCAUAAUGAAGAGUGUAUCACUUUAUACCUAUUAACGACCCAUUAUUUCGUUGGGCCGUUUCCAGCCCAUGUUAUCUUUCGGCCUUCUUAGAGCCCAUUUAUUCUUGGGCUCAUUUCCAGCAUUCAUUUACUUACGGCCCGUUACUGUCAUUUUCUACUUGUGGGCCAAAUUCAGCCCGUGGUUACAGUCGGCCGGUUUGUGGUCCGUUAAUAUGUUGGGCCGUUUUCAUAGCAUCAUCAAAUACGUCCUAUUAACGAUGGCCCAUUAUGGUCAGCCCAUGAACGGACGAUUCCAACUCUAGCCCGUUUACGGCCAUAAUGUGGUCUGUUUGGCCCAUGUUUGGCCAAUCGAUCAUACGACCCGUAUAAGGCCCAUUGAUGAUACAGCCCAUAGAAGGCCCAUUGUUUCUACGGCCCGUAGAAGGCACAUUGUUUCUAUGGCCCGUAGAAGGCCCACUGUUUCUACGGCCCGUAGGAGGCCCAAUGUCACUACAGUAAAUAUUAGCACAUGGUUAUUGUGGUCUAGUUUUAAAAAAUAGGUUAUUGCAGCCACUAGCAAACCGCGAAAAAAGAACUGCAAUGACUACAAACAAACAAAUAAAUAAGACAACAAGGAAAUAAAUAAGCAAGUAAGUAAUGCUAGGCUAUCACGGCUAUUACACAUAUUACAUCCACUGGGCAUCAAAGUUCGCCACCAGUGCAAAUAUAGGGAACAAAGCAGCAUAUCAUAUACACUGGUUGUCAAAGUUGGAGAGCAACGCAAAUAAACACCACAGCAUAACAAAUCCAGAACUGAAACCACUUCUGAAGAUCUCAAGAAACAUAUCCUGGGUACCCAUAAUGCUGGCAAGAUGCUUAGCAAGCUUAUUAACUUUCUCUUGUUUGGCAUUUAAAUCCUCCAGCGCUUGCUGUUGCACCAGGAAAUAUGCAUCUAAAUUCUGCAGGGACUUCUUCAGUCCUUCAACUUCCUGUGGCAGCACAUCUGAUCGAUGUCUUUCAACUUGAAGUUGAGACUCAAGAAGACGAACUGAUUCAGGCAGCGAAUUCGAAGAGCUUGUGCCAACAGUAGUGGCCAGUAACUCGAACACUACAUCAAGACAAGACUUUUGGGUUCUCUCACUGUCGUCAAGAUAGUUUUUAUCAGCUUUCUUGGAGACCAAUAGGGAUGUCUCACUAUCUUGAACCUUAUCUGCAUUACUUCCUUUACCAUUGCAUAACACGGUACUGUUCUCCAAUAUUUUGUCCGCAUUCUAAAAGAGAAACAAGCAGACACAUCACAGGUUUACCAUGUUGUAUAUGAAACUCAUUUGGAUAAGUGAAUUCAGUAGUAAAGUGGACGGGAUAACAACAUGAAACAAACAUAUAUCUAUGUACCAUCGUCACUUUAUGGUCUAUAUCAUUCUAGUUUUUGUUGCCAAAUCAAGAUAGAGACACAGUUCAAAUAAUAUUUGUUCAAGACAAAGCAGAAUAGACAGAAUAUAAGUGUGGGAAACUAUAGAGCAAUAACAACACUUGUAAUGUGCAUGACAUGAGAACAUAUAUGUUUAUUCAAUUGAAACUAAAAUCAACAUAGAGCAGGUUACAACAGCAAACCAGUUAAAGAAAUAGGUUUAAGACAUACUUGUUGCGCCAUUGGAGUUUGAAUUUCAUCCUUCAAAUUUGAAAAUAGUUGGUAUGAGUAAAUAUAGUAAUGCAAGAGCAAAGGAGUAUGAACCAUAGCUACAGAACCUGAACUGAGAACAAAUCUUCUUCUCCUUUAAGCGUUGAGUUGGGAUUCGGAGUGGUGGUCCUCGUGCUUUGGGCACUGCAGUUCCCUUACUAACUGCUCAUGUUUGGGUGCUCUGUGGUGGAGACGGUGUUGUGUCAACUGGAACUGGGUUACUAUCUGCCGGGGUUGGGGUUAGAAGGGGUGUAGCUGGUUCUCUGUCCAACUGGGUAGGGGUACAAUCUGCGAGAGUCUGGGUUAUGUGUGGUGGAUCUGGUCCUUGGGCAAGUACAACCGUGGUUCUAUCUACAUCAACUGGUAGCACUAUCUUUUCUAAAGACCGUGUUGUUACUCCCUUAGAUACUGCCAUCACCCUUUCCAAUUCAAAUGGCUGAUAAACAAGAAAAGUAAUUGAAAGUAUAGACAUUGUAUGAUAGACAGGUGCAAUGGAUAGUGGGGAAUAAAAGAGGGCAUGAAAUAAUUCAUAUUUAUGUUGUCUAACCAAACAUGAUAGCAUGACACAAUUUCACAUAUAUGAUGGCUAACUAAACAUGAUAGCAUGACACAAUUUCACAUUAUGAUGGCUAACUAAAAAAGGUGGAAAGACAUAGUUCAAAAUAUGAUGACUAUGUAAACAGGAUGACAUGAUAUAACUAUAUAAUGUGUUUAUUAAAUAUGUUGGCAUGCCAUAAUUCACAUACAUUCACGGAUAGAAUGCCAUAAUUCAAAAUAUGAUGACUGUAAACACUAAACAGGAUGAGAUGAUAUAACUAUAUGAUGUCUUUAUUAAAUGGGUUGCCAUGCCAUAAUUCAGAUAGAUGAUGUGUAUGAACUAUGUAAACAUGAUGGCAUGAUAUAAUUCAAAUAUAUGAUUUAUAUAGUAAGCAAGUAAGCAGAUGGCAAUCCAUAUAUGAUGUAAAAACUAAGCAAUGCAAGACAACAUGCAUGACAUGGGUAAUAUGACCCUGCCAAGUUUGAGCAUAGACCUCAGGGGGGAAAUAGGACUGGUCAUCAGUCUCUGAAUCCUCCUCUGAGGAGCUCUCUGUAACCAGCAAGAUGUCUGCUUCAGCAGGUAGCAUUGUCUGCUCUAAAUACCUUGUUUUCACUCCAGAUACUUCCAUCACCGCUUCAAAUGGCUGAUGCACAGGAAGAGUAGUUGAAUAUACAAAUGUUGUCGACAAAUGGAACACGUAAUAUAUAAAAAAUGAUAGCAUGAUAUAAUUCACAUACAUGAUGAUUGGCUAAACAGCAUGGCAUUGCAUAAUUCACAUAUAUAAUGCCUUUGCAACAAGAUAGCAUUGUAUAAUUCACAUAUAUAAUGUCUUGCAACAAGAUGGCAAUGCAUAAUUCACAUAUAUGGUAAUUAGACACUGAAUAGGUGGCAUUCACACAAAGCAUGUCUAAACUAAUCAAAUGACAUAGCAAUGCGANNNNNNNNNNNNNNNNNNNNNNNNNNNNNNNNNNNNNNNNNNNNNNNNNNNNNNNNNNNNNNNNNNNNNNNNNNNNNNNNNNNNNNNNNNNNNNNNNNNNNNNNNNNNNNNNNNNNNNNNNNNNNNNNNNNNNNNNNNNNNNNNNNNNNNNNNNNNNNNNNNNNNNNNNNNNNNNNNNNNNNNNNNNNNNNNNNNNNNNNNNNNNNNNNNNNNNNNNNNNNNNNNNNNNNNNNNNNNNNNNNNNNNNNNNNNNNNNNNNNNNNNNNNNNNNNNNNNNNNNNNNNNNNNNNNNNNNNNNNNNNNNNNNNNNNNNNNNNNNNNNNNNNNNNNNNNNNNNNNNNNNAUAGGACUGGUUAUCUGUCUCUGAAUCCUCCUCUGAGGAGCUAUCCGUAACCAGCGAGAUAUGCGCUUCGUGAGAUAGCAUAGUCUGCUCUGAAGACCUUGUUUUCACUCCAGAAUUUGCCAUCACCGUGUCAAAUGGCUGAUGCACACGAAGAGCAGUUGAAUGUACUAACAUUGUUGACAAAUGUAAUAUGUAACAAAAAAGGAGGGCUUGAUAUAAUUUACAUAUAAGAUGACUGGCUAAGCAGGAUGGCAUUCCAAAAUUCACAUAUAUGAUGCCUGGCUAAACAAGAUGGCAUUGCAUAAUUCACAUAAACGAUGAAUAGACUAAACAUAUGGCAUUCGCACAAAGGAUGUCUAAACUAAGCAGAUGCCAUAUUUGAUGUAUAAAGUAAGCAAUGCAAGGCACCAUAUGCAUGAUAUAACCAACAUCAGCAUGCCAAGUUAGAGCAAAGACCUCAGGGGGUAAAUAGGAGUUGUCUUCUCCUUCUGAAUCCCCCUCAGAACAGAUAUCUUCCUCUCGAUUACAAUCCGAAAUGCGUGGAGGGGGGGGGGGCUGCCUUUGCGCCUACCAUGGAGCGACGUCGGCAUGAAAUUUUAUUGCCACACAAGGCUCGUAUCAUUUGGUCUACAUGUUCAGUUCCAUUGUUUACAAUAACUAUCAUGCAUAGGAAUAAAACAUAGUGAGAUUAUGUAAGGAGUGCAUGCAGAAAUCCAGAGUGAUGGUAGCAACCUGUGGAUAGACCCAAAACCAAUAAUAGCAGGCAGAUAAUGGCUUCAGUUAAAAAAUACAGAUAAUGGCUUCUUUACUAUUUGUUUCCCACCCAACAUGAAACUCAUAGUAGACACCGGAGAUUAACCAGAUAGUAGAUAGAUAAUAUUGAUUGCGGCCCCGAUAUGUACCCCACAACCAUUUAAAAACUCAAGUUUGACCAUUAGUUUGGAGCUGAUUCAGAGUCUAAUUGGUGAACAGGACGAUAAAUUAGCAUGUAAUAUUAAGCGAUGCAUAACAUAAGAAGACACGAAAGAGUGCGGCCUCUCUUGCGGACCCGUGUAGUCCUCGAGGUCAUCUGCUCGGUUGAUCAUGGUAAUGCAGUUUUCAUGGCUGUCGGCGGCAGGGAAGAAGAUCUGAGGCAGCGAAAGACAGUCUAGAGGCUGAAUCCCUGUUGUGCUAGACCCUUCUGUCGUUGGAGCAGCUGAGCUAGGGUGGAUGACAGCACAGCAGGAGCGGGACAAACCACGCAAGGUUUUCUUUGACCACUAUCUGUAAGAGAAGUUAUUCUGUAAGGGCUCGUUUGAAUUGGAGGAUUCCAACAAUGCAGGGAUAGGAAAUAGACAUGAAUAGGAUAGGAAUGCACGUGCAAAACAGAGAACUUAAAAACACAGGAUUUCUGCCAAUCUGGGUGUUUGAUUCAAAACAAUUGGAAGAUCACAGGAUGCAAAGAAGCAUGGUGAGAUUAAGUUAAACCACAAGAAAAUGUACAGUUAUAAUGCUAUUAUGCUACUAUCUCUUAGUCUUGUGCUUCAUGAAUAGGAAUUUGAAAAGGAGGACACGUGAAAAUUAAAAUUCCUACAUUUUUUCUUUCAAGGAGACACUAAAGGAACAAAUCCUACAAUUUUCCUUUGCACCAUUCCUUUGAACCAAAUUCAUGAAUAGUAGUACCAUAGGAAACUUUCCAAUUCCUAUGUUUUUCAUUCACUUUUCCUUUCAAGCACUCACGAUUCUAGUAGGCAGGCAUGAGCAAGGAAAAGCCUACACUAAAAAAAUGUUUUUGUGCUACUUCUAUUACUUUGGACCCAGGCCACUGCCAUACUAGCUCAACUCUCAGGGCCAUCGGCAAAUGCAUAGCUCAAACGCGUAGAGAUAAAUAAUGAUGGCUUUCAAGAGAGUCCAUCAUGAAAAGCUAAGUUGCCUGGUACCUCACUACUUGUCAUAUAGUAGGAUAAAAUAAUCGUAUUUCCCGUUACUACGUGUGCUCAGUGGACAAUAUAUAACAUGUAGAGUAAAAAAGAGAUGCAACAAGUGUACAACCUCUUUGGCGAAGCCAUGUCAAUCUCAGCGUGAUUGGGUUGGCCGGUGAGGAUGCUCCGGCUGACUUGGCUGUCGGAGGAGGGGAAGAAUAUCUUAGGCAUCUGGAGAUUGAGCCCGAGGUACUGCUCCACUGUGAUGGAGGGUUUUGUCGUUGGAGCAGCUCUGGUGAGUUGUACGACGCCGAGGCUGAAGUAGGACAAGAGAGACAAUGUUAACCUGAGUGGAACUCUAAUAGCAUCUCCAAUACAUGACGUAAAAUACAUAACCACAAAGUGCUAGAUGUAAAAUACAUCAGCUGCUCAUCUCUGAACUUAACUGUCGAAACUGAAUUUAACUGUCGAAACUGAACUUAACUAUCGAAACUGAAUUUUGCUGUCGAAACUGAAUUUUGCUGUUGAAACUGAACGCACUAGCAAGGUGAGGCUACACGUCGGUCGACUGACUUUUUCAUCCUGGUCAGUCGAUUUUGCAGCCGUUUGAUUCGAAAUCAAGGGUCUGUAGUUCAUCUUCGACCUCCACCCCCCUGAGCCGCCAGCCACCACCGGCCAAACAGCAGCCCCCCGCCACCCGCGGCCGGCGGUGCGCCGCCCCGCCCGCCCCGAAAACACUCCCCACCGCCGGUCCUCCGCCUCCCCGACCAUCCCUCUAGCCCCCCCCGUGCUGAGCUUUUUCUCCGGCGAUCCCCACGCCACCGCCGGCGACCACCGUCCCCACCCUAAACCCUAAGAUAGAUAGUGGGGUACCUCUUCGGCGAGCCCCCCUCCCCGCUGCGGCUAGUUCUUCCUUCAUCCCGGUGAUCCCGCCACCCCCUGAAAAUCGACUGACCCAAAAGUCGAUUCAGUCAACUGAAGUGUAGCUAAAUCAAAGUAGCAUCGCAAGCAAGAGCAAGAGCGAGAGCAGCAAUGCAAGGAAGACCAAUAGCAAGAGUAGACCAGGCAGGGGACCGAGAGCAUGAGCAGAGCAGUAGCGCAAGCGAGAGCUAAAGCAGCAGCAGCUCCUACUGAUGUGGACGUCUCCGCCGAGGGAGCGAUGCCAUGGAGGAAGUGGCCAGCGAAGCCGCCGUGGAUGGAGCCGCGCCGUGUCAGCUCGGGACUGAGCGCCGGCAGCACCAUGAGAUCGAAUCAAGAAGAAAAUGCAGUGAUUAGUGUACAACCUCUAUGGUGGCGCCGAUUAGGCCGCAGCUUCAUCCGAGGAAACAGUGAUGAUGAUGCUCUUCCGGUGGUGCAGGUGAAGACGGCGGUGUGGGAAUGGAGGUGGCGCAAAAGACGAGGGGAACAUCAGGGCAGCUCCUUGGAGGUGGAGAACGGGGUGGAUGAACCGGCGGUACAAUGAGAUCGACGACGGAUCCUCAUCCAGUAUGGUGGAUGAGGGACGUCGAGGUGUUGCUGUGGACGACGUCGUCGGGGAAGAGGCUCCAGCUGGGUGGCGGACAGAGCAGGGUGUGGGGCUUCCUCGCGGAUUUUCGCGGCCUCGGUGUACGAAUGGGUGGGCGGAUGGGAUGGCAGUGGGGAACCAUGGCUUAGGGACGCACUUGUCCGAAAUGUGGGGUAAGUUACAAAAGUACCCCCACCGAUUUGAGGCGGUUCUUUCGGUUCAGGGGUACCACGGGCAUUUCGCAUGUCGGGAUUUCACAGGAGGUGGGGGUUUUCGUGCGUGUUGUAAUUUCGGAAUAGCAAGGCGCAUGUUGAGAUGGAGGGAGUUGUCGAAGCACGACGAGACAAAGAUAUAUCUUAAAUAUUUCGGGCUAACAAGGCGUGGGUUGAAAUUUCCGGACAAGCCUACCGUGUACUAUACCAAAUCAAUGCGCACUACAAAUGUCAUUCAAAACUUUGAAUUCAUGUUAUGUUCAAUUAAAAUAUUUUGCUACGUGUAUAAUGCAUGCAACCUACUACUCAAAUGAACGUUUUAGUGCAUUCCAAACGUAUAUACUACCGCUUCAAUGUGAACAAAAUUUGAAUUCAUUUCUCUAUUUGAAUAAGAUCUACAGUAAUGAUUGUUGUGAAGUCAAAGCAUUUGAAUUUGUUUCUCUGUUUUAAUAAGAUCUACAAUCACCAUUAUUGUCAAGUUAAACCAUCGUUUGUGUAUUAUCUUCACAGCACACCACAUGAUUAGUCUCAAGUUACAUAUGAACUAUGUGUACUAUAUGAACUCAAACUCGAUUUUUUGAAUCCACUUUAUGUUGAUUUCAAAUCACAUUACAUUUCUAGCUCUAGCUAGAUCUUCAUAAUCUAAACCAUGUCUCAUAUGUAUAAUGUGUUUAUCACAUUAUGUAUGGUGCCCCGCCCCCUACGCCUACAAGUAUUUAGAUGUGAGUUGCAAACACCACACAUUACCACAAAUUCAAAUAAAAUGUGAGAAUGUUCGAUAUAUAGUAUUGUUUAGAUUGUUUGAUAUUUAGUUGUAAGCUGCAAAGGCCACACAUUAUCACAAAUUCAAAUAAAAUGUGAGACUGUUUGAUGUAUAGUAUGGUUUAGAUUGUUCGACAUUUAGCUGUGAGUUGCAAACGCCAUGCAUUAUCACAUUAUGUUAUAUCAUGUGCACAACACGUGUAUCACCGCUAUAUUCAUGCAUGCAUAUGUUUAAAACACUAUGAUCUCCUAUUCAAAUAUAUGAAUCUGCUUUCAUAUCAAAUUAUGAUCUUUGUUAGUCUCUUACACCCACACAAUCCUCUAACUUUUGUAGCUGCCACUAACUUUCUCUCGUGCAUGCACACGCCCUCCUCGCCCUCCCCCUCCCUCGGCAUUCUAUCCACCAAGCACAUUCAUUUUUUUUCUUUAGGCCGUUCUCCCAGAGUCUCCACAACUCCUUUCCGACACACACCGAUCGAUAAACCUCUCCAGCGAUGCCUGCCUACAACAUGCACAUGCACCAUCAAUCUCCUCCUUUAUGUGUCUUUGCCUCAUGUCUCUCAUACGAUCACACACACGUGUAAACUCUCGCCCCUCUUUUCAUCGAUCUCACAACCGCACACUCCUCCCCCUAUCUAGCCAGUAGCUGGGCCUCUCGCACUACCUCCUAGCUCCAUUCUCUCUGUCUAUCCGUCUCACUGGGCCUUAUUUGCCUCUAACAAAUGGACGUACACUGACCGAUCUCUCGCUAUACAUAUAGCUAGCUAGGUCCUUAUAACUCGUUUUUACACACGCGUCGAUCGAUCUACCUCAUUAGUUAUGUCUUUUCCUUCCUCCGACAAACAACAAUUGAUCUACUGAUCUAGUUAGGUUUGCUUACCAAACACAUGGUUCCCCUUCAUCAUCCAUGGAUGCGUCCCGACAGAUCUAUCACGCACAGGCACACACAGAAACACAUCCCCACUCUUAAUGAUAACAUUGUAGUUCCACCCUCAGCUUGUCUAGUAGGCCUCUCCCACCAUCUUCGAGAAGCAACUCCAUCACCCAUCCAACACUCUACCCCUCUCCCUCCCUCUCUCCCUCCCCCCUCUCUCUCUCUCUUUGUCCCAUCAUAUUUACCGUUCUUCAGUUAUGUAUGGAUGUCGACCGAUCUCCCUCAAGACAUAGCUGGGUCUCUCCUUCUCAACACAUAUAUGAGUCAUUCUACCUCUAUAGUUAGGCCACUGCCUACCCCUCCCCCCACCCCCUCCCCCCACACACACCGAUACAUCGAACGCUCUAGUCAUGUCUCCCUUCCACACACAAACUUGACAUGUGCCCUCUGACGUUCCGGUAGGUCAGUCGCCCUAUAUCUUUGACUUGCACACACACACACACACACACACACACACACAAUUUCGAUGGUUCUCUUCAUCGAUCUCGCACCCACCCACUUGAUCCUCUCUUCGACUCUAUUGAUAUCUUUGACCCCUCCCUCUCUUCUCGUGGAUUGCCUGACCCUCUAUAUAUGAUAUGGAUAGGCCUCCAUUUCACACACAUUGCAUGCAAAAUUUUGUUUGAGAUGUCAUCGACACAUAUUCCCACAAAUACAUUCACGAAAUCAACCCCCACCCCACCCCACCCCAAAACAAAAAACACUCACGAAUGCGGUUUGUAUCUCUCACACACCCAUGUAGGUGGGGGACGUGCAUGAAGAGAAGAGGUGCAUGCACGGCGCACGUACUCCCAUCUCUCUCCCAACCACACCCAUGCGGGUACACGGUGGAACUCAUUUCUAUAUGAAAAAGGCAGCCCACAUGGUAAUUUGGCACGUGUACUGGUUGUCCACUUGGUGGAGGGAGGAUCGUCUACCACGGGUGAACAAACAAAUUGCGACUUGACGCGUUAUGUUAAAAAAGAGGCAAACAAUGUGGGGCCUACCUUAGAGGCAAGGCUCUAUACAUUGGAGUACUUUUGAUGUGUCCCAUCAACUCGCAGAACGAGGAGAAGCUUGCUUAGUAUGCCGUCUCCCCCGCCCACGGGCGCAAUAUGAUAGGUUCAUAUGGAGAGAACAGGAAACCGCUCCACUAUAUACAUAGUCAGGAUGGGCUAGCCUACACGAUUGCUUGCUGGGGUUGCUCUCUUCACACUCUCUCACGCAAAAUGAAUGUGGCCACAUCUCUAACAACCCGACGGAUCACGUCCGCUGGGGGGAGGUGUGGAUACUUAGUGUAGAUGCGGUCACCGUUGUCGACCGCGAAAACCCACUAUCGGCACGUCCCGAUCAGGGGUCCCCGCCGUUCUCUCUCACAAAGCCGGUGAGGUUGCCUUCGUCCCUUGCUCACUGCCGUGACGUGGGCAGUUGCCACCUCCCGCCGCCCUCCUCAAGGUUGAGCUACGUCCCUCAAGUACAACUCCCUUUACAGCCGGCUUGCACCACUGCUCCAGCUGCCCACAUCACUCCAUGUGGAUAUUUCUCUACUUCUUUGCCCCGCACAUACCUCUACUGGCUUCUACGUACUGUAUUUGUGAUGAGUUUAUGUCUCAUCAACUAGUCCCAGUAAUCUGAUUCUAAUCAUGCUUCUUCAAUUUCUUUGCCACAGGGAUGCUCAUCUUGAUUUUGGUGAAACUGCACAAAAUGAUCCGAUGGUCAAAAGGUUGCAAACUUCAUUUCUUAGGAAGCUCGAACGUUGCCAGCAAAUUGAAGCCUGGUUAGGGUUCACGGUUCAAGGGCUAGGGACUGCAUGGAUCAUUUUUUUCUUUAGCUACCUCUGUUCCAAAAUAAGUGUCAACUUUAGUAGUAGUAAAACUUUGUACUAAAGUUUGCAUAAAGUUGAGACACUUAUUUUGGAACGGAGGGAGUACAUAUUUGCUAUGAUCUGUCAAUCAUUGAGAUGCAAUAGCAUGCAUGUUAGUCUCCUUUGUAUUUGAUGAAAUGUUGCAACGGGCAACCUUGGAUGCAAGAUACAUGUAACAGAAGCUAGAAGCUUCAUAGCAUUGUACAAAUUUAUCUCGCUGAUAAAUUACAGUACGUACUAUACUAAUACUUCCUCUGUUCCUAAAUAUAAGUCUUUGUAGAGAUUUCACCAUGAACCACAUGCGGAUGUAUAUAGAUGCAUUUUAAGUGUAGAUUCAUUCAUUUUGUUCUGUCUAUAGUUCACCUAGUGGAAUCUCUACAAAGAGUUAUCUACUAGUAAUAGAUAUCCCCCACUACUAGGAAUUCUCUAUCCUCUCCUUGAGCCACAUCAUCAAAAUUAUAUGUAGCCAUUAGAUGAACUAAAUCAGUCCAUAAUAGCCGUCUGAUCUAGAUGUUGAGAGGCUCCGCACUAAGCCACAUGCAAGCAUGCAGAAAUACCGUGGCAUGCAUGUGAGUGGGUUUUAAAUCACAUCAACAUGUAUGCACGCAAGCAUGCACCGGUAGCAUGCAUGUAAGUGAGGUUUUAAGUCCCAUUAACAUGUCAAAAAGAAAAAUAUAAUCCCAUUAUGCAGUAGGAGUUGGCUGAUCUUUUUUCCUUACGUGGGAUGAUCUAAAUGAUGAUGGGAGUUUUUCUUAGUUUGGCUACCACAUUUGUCAUGCGGUUAUAGAGUUUUUUUAGUUCUAUGAAAUCGAUAAUUUUACGCAGAGAGAUAUACGGCUGUUUCGCGGCAACGCGCGGAGACUCAUCUAGUAUUAAGGAACUGAGGGAGUACUAUGUAAAGAGUUAGGUGUCGCACGGUGUCCAAAAAAAUAUGGUGAUAGUGUGAGGUGGGCCAUGUAAUCACUGAGCCUGCAUGUUUUCAUUGCUCUUGCACUCCUCCGCUGUAAGAAUGGAGAAAAUUGUAAUCUAGUAGUACCUCCUUUCACCGAAAGCGUGGGACAUCCAGCAGUCCUACCACCUCAGUAAUAAAGACCAAUGAGCCGUCAAAUCACAUAGACCCAGCAGUAAGUUGGACGGACAAAGCAACCAUCACUCUUGCGCCAGUGAGAGGUCGCAUCCGCUCUUCCCGGACAUGAAUGCUGCACCGAUUCUUUGUAGCGGUGCUGACCGUUUCUGGUAGGAAGCGUGUGCGAGCGAUGGAGGUGCUUUGGGUGGGCCAGGCUGGUCAGGAGCGGGUGCGGCAGCUGUUCGCAUGUCCCUACCGGACACGCCCGGAAACGAGAGGAUGCACCGACUCUCAUGGCUAAAAUCAUACACUACACACCAUCUCUUUGUAGGAGUAGGUCGAUCUGUCACUCUCUCUAACACACACAUGAUGUUAAACACACACACACACACACACACACACACACACACACACGCACCUUGGUCCCGCUGCACCUUCCAACGUGACUUAUUACACCUAGACGGAGGGAGUAUUAAGUACGAGAUACAGUGGCACACUGACUUAGGUCGAAUACAAGUGCCCAAAAUUGUGUGCAUGUUAUAAUAAGGAUUCACUUAAAAUUGUACGUGAGCGAACAGAGGGAUCAAUUGGACAGUGUUCCCGAGCAGUAGCGAGAUGUGUGAGGUAAGAUACACCGCUAGCGCUUUUAUUUUUUCUUAUUAAUUUGUUUGUUUCACCCUCUGACUGGUGGGACCCAACGUACUACGUGGAGAGAGGUAAGGUGACUAAGGUUGCAUUAUUUCUGCACCACUGUGGAUAGUCUUACCACCAAAGCCACAUGACACGAUUAUGAUUUAAAUCCCAAUGACUCCCACACACAAAAAAAA
rnacentral:lncRNA from 1 species